UUUUAAAAAGCUAUUUCUAGCUCAUUGCUGCCUGUGAUGAUUAUAUCAUCUACAUAAACAAUUAGAUAGAUAAUAUUUUCAUUUUUCUCUCUUAUAAAAAGGGACUAAUCUGAUUUGAUUUGUAUAAACCCUAUUUCUAAAAGUGUGUUUCUCAACUUUUCAAACCAAUUCCUAGAAGCAUGUUUAAGACCAUAUAAUGAUUUGUUGAGUUUGCACACUCUUUUAUCUACUUCUUGGAGAAGACCUUGGGGUGGUUUCAAGUAUACUUCCUCAUGGAGAUCACCAUGUAGGAAGGCAUUGUUGACAUCUAUUUGGUAUAGAUUCCACCUUUUCUAAGCUGCAAAAGCAAUCAAUAUUCUAACUGUUGUCAUUUUUGCAACAGGUGCAAAAGUUUCAUAGAAGUCAAAUCCUUCCUUUUGAGAGAAGCCUUUGCCUACUAGCCUUGCUUUAUAUCUCUCAAUUUCUCCAUCUGGUUUAUACUUAAUUUUGUAUAUCCACUUUGAUCCUACUGCUUUUCUUCCUUUGGAAAGUUCAGUCAAGAACCAAGUAUUGUUUGAUAUAAGAGCUUCCAUCUCUUUUUUCAUUGCAUCUAUCCAAUUGGGGUUAUUAGAUGCCUCACUGAAUGUUUUAGGUUCAGUGUUUUUAUUAAUUUGUUGGAGAAAAUGUUUAUGUUUGUUGUUUACUCUAUGGUAUGAAACAUAGUUGCUCAUAGGGUAUUUAGAUUUAUUUGGUGUAUCAUUCAUAUGAAAAUCAUCAAAAUGCUUAGGUUUGGUUAUUAUUCUGCCUAACCUUGUUUGCUUUAUAUCUUUGACUUGUAUAGUUUCUUGUUUAUCAUUUUCAAUGUUCUUAUCUUGAAAUGAUAUUUGACUUUGAUUUUUAUUUUCAUGAUUACUUUCAUGUUGUUUUGUUUGAUUUUGUGUAUGUUCAGUCUGAAUUAUGUUUUCUUCAGUAUUAUUCUGUAUUUCUGAGUCCACUACUGAAAUUUUCUCUGAACUUAUUAUUUUUGAUGUUAUAUCAGGUUGGUUAUUGCCAAUUUCAUCUGAUAUAACCUGUUCUUUUGAUGUAGUUUUAGUCUGGCCAGACUUAUCAUUUUCAGUUAUUCCUGGCCUGUCUAGAACUACUUUAGGUUGUUUGCUUGUACAUAUAUUUUUAUCUUUAAGGUAGUCUGUAUUUUCCAGAAUUGUUAUUCCCUUGGGGUGAUUUUUCAAACUUGUAUUUUUCUGGUCUGUUUUGAGUUUUUCUGAAAAUUUCAGAUUUUAUUCUGCCCUGGGGUGGUGUUCUUCUAAUACUUCAUUGAACAAUUCUUGUAAUGGAAAUAUGUUGUUUGUUACAUUCUCAUUAUUUUUAGGUGUUAUUUGUUUAAAUGGGAAAAUUUCUUCUCUAAACACAACAUCCCUGCUAAUAUAAAAUUUCUCAUCUUCUAAGUAUAGAAUCAAGUACCCUUUUAUAUUAGGGGGAUAUCCCAUAAAUAUUCCCUUAAAAGUUCUUGGAGAGAACUUAUGUUCUCUAUUGUGUGUUGUUGCAUAACACAAGCAACCAAAGGUUCUUAGUAAGUUAUAUUUGGGUUUUUGGUUGUGUAGAACCUCAAAAGGGGUUUUAUUAUCUAAAACCUUUGAUGGCACUCUAUUUAUUAUAUAAGUGGCAGCAAGUAUACAUUCCCCCCAAUAUUUUAAGGGAAUGUUGGCUUGUAUGUGUAGUGACCUAGAUAUGUUUAGUAGGCACCUAUGCUUUCUUUCAACCCUUGCAUUUUGUUGAGGGUUGUAGGGGCAAGUGAGUUGGUGAAGAAUUCCAAAGUUUUCAAGCAUCUCUUUGAAUUUGCUAGACUUGAAUUCCCCACCAUUGUCACUUCUUAUUACUUUUAUAUUUCUGCAAAAAAUAUUUGACUUUAAUAAUGAUUUUUCUUAUACAUUCACAUGCAAUAGCUUUGUCUUUGAUGAGGAAAAUCCAAGUAGUUCUACUCAAGUCUUCUACAAUGGUGAUAAAAUAUUUAAAACCAUCAUGAGUGACAAUUGGAAAUUUACCCCAAAUGUCUAUGUGGAUUAAGUCAAAUAAAUUCUCACUUAUUGUAGUGCUUUUGAUAUAUUUUAGUUUACUUUGCUUGGAUAAAGGACAAAUACCACAAUCUUUAUUUGAAAAAACUAAGUUUUUAUCACAAUUAUUCAUAACAAGUUGUUUUACAUUUUUAUUUGAACUACAAUCUACUUGAUGAUUUUUGAUUAACAUAUCAAGUUUCUCAUUGGAAAUAUGUUCAAGCCUGUUAUGCCAUACUCUAGUAUCUAAGGAAGCAUAUGCAAAUCCAGGGUGAUCAGUGUUGUAUAUGUAGAGCCCAUCUUGGCACCUACCCUUCCCAAUCACUUUCUUUGACUUGUUUUCCUGAAAAUGACAAAUUUUAUCAUCAAAAAGUAUUUUUAGAUUGCUGUCUAGAGUUAAUUUGCUAACUGAAAUUAAGUUCACCUUGAAUUGAGGUAUAUAUAGCAUAUCUUCUAGUAUUAUAUCCUUGGAAAGUGUUAUCUUUCCUGUGGAUUUGGUUCUACAUAUUUCAUCACUUGGAAUAGUGACAAAAUGAUCACCAUUUUCAGAUGGUGGUUUAUCAAAAAAUUGAAGAUUCCCAGUCAUGUGCUGGGAAGCUCCAGUAUCAAUGAUCCAUUUUGUUUUAAAUUCUAUUGCAUUGUAUGAAUGAUUUAUUUUAAAAUUCAGAACAUUAAAAAAAUAAUUGGAUUUCAUACCAUUGGUUUUCAGAAAAUAAUCCUUGAGUAUAAGGAUUUCUUCACUUGUCAUUCCUGGUAUGGCAGAUGUGGAAGAAGAAGCUUGAUUGGCUGACUCAAUCUUGGCUUUCUUGUUUUUGUUCCCUUUCUUGAAAUCUUUAUUUUUGUCAUUGGGAAAGCCUAUGAUGUGGUAGCAAUCUUUUCUAGUACUGUGACCAUAAUAUUUACAAUUGUCACAGUAUUUUGAGUUGUCUAGCUUCUUUCCAUUCUUGCUAUACAACCCUCUUUCUUCUUCUUUUUCAUUAGACCUUUUUGCAAAUAAAGCAGAUGAUUCUAUGCUUGCUUUAUCACUCUUAUCUCUGAAUAUUGCUUUCUGUUUUUCCUCUUGUAUUGUGAGAUAAAACAGUUUACUCAUAUUGGGCAGUUCAUCGUAUGAGAGAAUUUGCCCUCUUAUAGUUUUAAAAUCCUCAUUUGGUCCCAAUAAGAACUGAUGGAUUUUAUCCUUUUCCAACUUGUCAUUGUACUUGGGAAUGCAUGUGUUACAAAAAUCAAUAUUUUCUAGCUCUAUUUUUUGAUUCCAUAGAGCUUUGAAUUUAUCAUAAAACACAGUAACACUAUCAUUGCCUUGAUUCAAAUUAUUUAAUUCAUACCUCACUUGGUUUACCUUAGGAGAAUUCCCUUGGUUAUACCUUUCUUGGAGGUCUUUCCAUGCAAUACUAGCUUCUUCAGUGUGCAUUAAUGUAGACGAUAUUUGAGCAGAGACACUAUUGACAAUCCAAGACAAAACCAGUCCAUUUACAGUCUCCCAAGCCUCAAAUUCCUUCCCUGCCCUAUCCUCUGGUUUUGUUAUCUUUCCAUUCACGAAAGCAAUCUUUCUUCUAAACAGUAAGGAGAGCUUCAUAGCAUUAGCCCAACUUGCAUAAUUCGCCUCACCCAUCAGCUUGUCUGCCACCAUGAGUGCUCCUGGAUGAUCCCCGGAGUUGAGAUAAUAAAUUGAUUCUCUGUCAUUUAUUGCAGAGGUGUGGGCUGACUUCUUGGAUUUGCUGCUGUGGUGGGAUCUAUAUAUGAUGAGUUUUCUUCCUGUGUUUAGAAGAUGAAUGUGACUUGCGUCGUGGGGAAUGUAGAAUCGAGGGAGGGGAAGAUGGUGCCGAGCUUGAUCCAGAUUGAUCUUCUCUGUUUGGGGAAACAACUUGCUUUCCAUCAUCUCUGUUUUCGGAAGCGUGGCCAGAAUCUCCAGCAGAUAUCAUAUUAAAAUAGCGGCGCGGUUCUGUAUCGUCUAUUUAGUCGAGCGCCUGAAGUCCGGAGGAAGAAGUUCGCCGGACGAUGAGGAAUCAAUGAGAAAAGGGGAAGAAUUAGGGUAAUUCGUAUUACCUAAUUCAAAUAGCCGUUAACACUGUAGCAACGUGGUUAGAUUUAAUCUCUGUAUUAACUUUGUGAAAAAGAGUAAUCACAAUGUAAUUAGUUUACAGUAUUUAUAGAAGCUAAACUACCUUAACCAUAACUAAUUGCAUUAACUAAUUCUUCUUUUCUUUCUUUGAAUUAAUUCCUUACUGGGCCAAUUCUUCUUUGGUCCGUUAAGACUUUAUUGAAACAAUUACAUAGCGGUCCUCGUGCUUUAACUGUCUAUCAAACUUAUCCUUUAUUGAAACAAUUGCAGAAUAAUCCACAUUUAUAAUUUAUAAACCUGAAGAACCCAAUUGUUUUAUAACAGUCCAGAUCAGUAUAAUCUAAUUACUAAUCACCCUGUUAACACGAUUAUUCAUUUCUUUUGAUAGAAGUUUUUUAAAAAGUGGGUGGCUUACAUUUCACAAAUGUACAAAUUCAGAACUAUAAAUACUAUCAAGUCUGAUUGCCUAGAUGUUUAUAAGAUAGAAAAAAUAAAGUUGCAAAGUAUCUUUGAUGGUCGUAUUUCUUCUAGGGUUAGCCUAACAACUGAUUUAUGGACUCUAGAUCAUCAAAACCUUGGGUAUUGUGUUGUGUGUCCUGUCAUUAUAUAGACGUUCAUGGAAAUUAAAUAAGAAAAUCAUUGUCUUCAAUAUUUUUAUUGAAUGCCUACACAAUGGUGAAGUCCUUGUAACUUGGCUAAAAUAAAAGACCUACUCAAUCGUAGUUGAAAAUGCGAGCAACAACUAACCAAUGGUAAUGAUGAUUAAGAAUUGGUUAAAUAAUAAGAGGUAUUUGCUAAGGAAUGAAAAUUUAUUCCAUAUUCAAUGUUCUGCUCAUAUCAUUAAUUUGAUUGUUAUAAGUGGAUUAGAAAUAAUAUUAUCAUUGAUUGAGAAAAUCUGAAAGAGUGUAAAGUACGUUGGGUCUUCUGUUUACCGAAAAUAGAAAUUUAAUCAAGCUUAAUUUAACUCCGGUAGAUUGAAUGAUAAUAAAAAGGUAAAUUUAAAAUUUUCAUUCUGAAAAUUACCUUAAGAUAAAUUCUUUGAAAUAUAAUUUUAAUUUUCAAUGAGCUUAAAUGUUGACACACGUUGGAAUUUUACAUAUCUUAUGCUUGAAAGUGCUUUGGAAAUCAAAGAUGCUUUUGAACGUUUGACAGAUUUAGACUCUGAUUACAAAGAACUUUCAAUAUUUGAAGAAUGGAAAAUGAGAAAGAAGGUAUAUGAUUGUUUGAAGUUUUUUCAUACAAAUACACUUAGAUUAUCUGGUACGAAAUAUCCUACUGCAAACUAUUACUUUAGCGAUAUUGUAAAUAUCAGUUUUCAUCUUAGCUUAUGGAAAAAAAUUCUGAUCGAGGCAUCCAAGAAAUGGCAAGGUUAAUGCAAAUUAAGUUUGAUAAAUAUUGAGAAUUGUGUGGGUUUAUUUUGACCAUUUGUAUGAUCUUAGACCCUCGAUACAAAAUGCAUAUUUUUGUAUAUGCAUAUGGAAAGCUUUAUGGUAGUGCAUCUCAGGUCAAAUCAUUCAAGUUAUUAAGAUAACUAAAUAGAUAAAAUAUCUAUAACCAUAAUUGGUUAUAGAUGGUUAUUGUAACUAGAAUCUGUGUAAUAUAUAGAUAGUAUAAAUAGGGAUGUACUCCAUCCAGAAUAGAUCAAUCUCUUCAGUUCAAUCAACUCCUUGUACCUCAGAAGAAGGAUUUACUCGUAUUAUAUAAAUUUCGUUGACGCCAAGACAAACUUCAAUUGGGUCUAUCCACUUCGCCUAAAGUCACAAGUAAGUGAGGUAUUUUUAAGAUUUAAGAAAUUUGCUGAGCAUCAAAAUGGUUACACCAUAAAAUCAAUUCAAAUAGAUAACGCACUAGAAUUCAAGAAAAUGACUCCCAUGUUGGCAAGUUUUGUCAUCCAUCAUCGCAUGUCAUGUCCAUAUAGUCAUCAACAAAUGGGGUCAGUCGAACGUAGGCAUCGACAUUUGGUAGAUACGACAGUCACAUUAAUUCGACAAUUCAGUGACGAUGAUUUUAAAUAGUAACGACGAUUUAACACUACAAAAAAACAGGGCUACGCCCACAGGCUUAGCCACGGCUAGCUAGCAAAAGCCGUUGCUAAUUGUUGAAUAUUAGCCACCGCUUUUUUAUCCGUGGCUAAGCCCAUGGAAAAACAAUUCCGUGGCUAAAAAUCAAUAGCCACCAGACCUACAGCCAUGACCGCUCCCAUGGCUAAUUCCCAAUUAGCCACGGAUUUGACCAAAGGGCCACUGAUCUUGGCCAUGGCUGUUUCUCUGUUUUUCUUGUAGUGUCGUAGCGAUGACAAUAUUUUUGACGCCAAAAAACAUACUGUCCGUGACCAUAUGUUAUCGUCGCUAUUUUUUACCAAUUAUGACCGAUAUCGUCGCGAAUUUCUUAGCGACAAUGGAAAAUCGUCGCUAUAUUGAUCGUCGUUGGAACCCAAGAAUCUUGUAGUGUGAGUACCGACUACUGGAAUGUUGUGAUAACCACAGAUUCCAAGUGUCAACUUACUAGAAUACUAUGAUAUUAUUUUGGUUUGUUGAUAUCAAUUUUUGUUUUCGGCCAGUACUGUAAAAUAGCGAAAUCGUUGAGUAAGAUGGCUCUCUCCUACGUUAUUGUUUAAUCUUUUUUUUUUUGAAACAAAUUGAUUUUCUCUCUAUAUAUUGUUUACUUGUUGUUGGUUUUUAUUAUUGGUUAUUCUUCUGUUAUUUGCUUGUUUGGGUUCUAGUCUAGUAAGUAAUGCAGCUGGGAAUAGACGGGAUAAAAUCUACAUGUACCCUUAGGAAACACUAUGAAAGAAAGAUGAGGGAGAUGAAAUCAAACUAAACCUUUUAUAGAUGCAUGUUGGAGGUUAAACUAGGUUCUUGAGGAUCUAGGAGAAAGUAGAAUAAAAUCAAGAAAGAAGGUACGAAUAUCUUUUCACCUUUGAAUUAUGAUCUCGGAAUUUAAAAAUAAUUAAAUGUUAUUUCAUAGUAGGGCUUGUAUGUGAGUUUCACAUAAGUUUAAAAAUGUGAAUAGGUGUUGAUUAAACACAAAAUAUGAAUACGUUUAUGAUAAAAUCGAUUGGGGUGCGUAUAUCCUUACACUACAAAAAAAAGUUAGCAGUUAGGACGAGCAAAGUUAACGGAAUUUCCGUUACAAAUACUGUUUUUAACGGAAAUUCCGUUAACUUUGGUCCGAGACAAAGUUUCCGUUAAAAAUACCAAAAUCCGUUACAAAAAUCCGUUACAAAUACUCCGAAGUCAAAGUUAACGGAAAGAAAAAUCCGUUACAAAAUUUUUAGGUAUUUUUAACGGAAUUUCCGUUACAAAUAAGGAAAAAUAAUUUGUAACGGAAAUUCCGUUAAAAAUGAGGGAAAAAAUUUUUUAACGGAAUUUCCGUUACAAAAGAGGGAAAUAAAAUUUUUUAACGAAAAUUCCGUUACGAAAAAAAUUGGUAACGGAAUUUCCGUUAAAAAUCAGGGGUAAACAAUAUCAAAAAAAAAAUCAAGAAUUCCAGUGCCACUGGAAUUCUAGAAUUCCUGUAAAAUCAUUCCAAUAUCCUGUAAAAUCAUUCAAAUUCCUGUAAAAUCAUUCAAAUUCCUGUAAAUUCAUUCAAUUAAUAUUAAUUCCUGUAAAUUCAUUCAAUAUUCAACAAAUAUUCAAUACAUACACAAUAUUCAACAUUCAAGAAAAGUAACAUUCAACAAAAACUAACAUUCAAAAAAACUAACAUUCGACAAAAAUAAAAUGAAAGACCUAUUUCGAUGGAGGAGUCUGAAAUCUUUGAUCACUCUGAGCUGCAUUAAUACUUCUAUCUUGCAACGAUCCACGAUCUGAAGGUUGUGGAGUUGUAUUUGAUUGAGAUAGAACUGUUUUCUUCAAGUCUUCAAACAUAUCAAACAUUUCAUCAUAUUUCCUUUUUAAAAUUUGAUUGUCCUGUAAAACAUUUAAGAUUCAUUUAUAUUUAUGUAUUACUUUAAAAUUUUAUUGACUUUCAUACACAUACCUCCAUGAGCUUUUCCAUUCGAUCGUUCGUUCAUUUUUUCUUUUCCUUUUUCUUUGUCUUUGUCGAUAGAUCUUGCAUUCAUUUCAAUUGAAAAUCUGGUAGAAGCAGUGCUCGACUCAGCAAAUGAUCCUCCACCAAGUCCAAUGUGCCUCCCUUUUUUGCUUUGAAUAAACUUAGAAAUGCAUUUUUGUUGAAUCACCUACGUGCGAAAAAUAAUAUAUAAGAAAAUAAAACAUUUGAAUAAUUUGAAAUAGUAAACUAAUUUAAAACUUACAUCUUCAUCCGUUGUUGGACGUAAUUCUUGAAUUUCAUCACUUUUGUAAUAUUCAGACAAGUUUCUCUAUAAAAUAAGUAAUAAGCUAUGAGUAGAUCAAUAAACUACUAUUUAUGAACAUUAUAAAAUAAACUAAAACUUACAACGACUUCGUUGUCAGUUCCAGAAGAACGAAUCAAUACAUUGAUUCGUGAUGCCUCAAUGCCUUCGCUUUGCAGAUUUUCUCUUAUUGCACUGAAAGGAAUUGACCCUGUUUUAUGGUUUAAUAUCUUCUUACUCCGGUUUGUUUUGUUUAUUUUUGAUUUUCUCUGCGAAUUCAUAUAUAAUGUUAAACAACUUACAAUAUAAAAUAGUAUAUCGAUGUAUGUAAAACAAUACCUUAAAUUCUUCUGUAGUCCAUAAUUCUUCCACACACUUUUCGAAAGUGAAUCGAUCAAUGUAUGGAGGAAGACUAGCAUACAUCCUUUCAGUUGAUUCAUCAUCAGCAAAUGGGUCAAAGUAUUUUUCCUUUAUGUAGUUUCGAUAACACCUCCAAGUAUUGUUGAGUUUGGAUUUGAUGUAUUGAUGAGCAUUUGGGUAACCGUCUAAAUCAAAAUCAACCUAUAUAAUAAAAAUUGAAAAAUUAUUCGACUAAAAAAAAUCUAAAUCAGAAAAUAAUAAAAAACAUACCUCAAUGUACUCGAAUGCUUGUCGAAAGCUCUGAGAUGUUUGUUUCGGCCAGUUCACAUUCAAAGGAAAAAUCGUAUGCAUUUUUGCGACUCUAUUGAUCAUUGCAAAAAUAUCCGUUAAAAAUAGUUAAAAAAUCCGUUACAAUAUAUAAGUUCUAGUAUUUGUAACGGAAAUAGCAAAGUUAACGGAAAUUCCGUUACAAAUUCCGUUAACUUUGAUAAUAAGUAUUUGUAACGGAAAUUCCGUUAACUUUGCUUCGUCCGAACUGCCUACUUUUUUUUGUAGUGUUACUCGUUAAAUAAGAUCAAAAUGAAUUCCAUAUUUACGAAUACCUAAUUAGGUGUUGUGAAUGAUGGAAAUGAUUUUGAGUUGAUGUUUGAAUAUGAUUUUUGAAUGUAGAUAUAUUUUUGUGAUAGCAUUUUUAGGAUAUAUAUAUAUAUAUAUAUAUAUAUAUAUAUAUAUAUGUUUAAGAUGAAAUCUAUUAAGGUUUGAUCAAGUUUCAUCUAUUUAUAAAAGUUUAUGGGUUCAAUGAAAUCGACUUUUUAUGUUUCGUAAGAUUUAAGAUUUUUCUUUUAAAAUGUUGAAAUCGAGUUGGACUAAUUAAAUUGGUAUUUUACAUGUGUUUAUAGGGUUUUAUUUAAUUGAAAUUUAUAAAUCGUAUAGAAUUAAAUAAAGGCGUAUUUUACAUACAUUCUUUGAGUUUUAUAUACUUAAAAUUAAUAAAUUAUUUUUUGCAAAUAAAAAUUAAUAAAUUAUUUAAGACCAAGCCUGACUCAGAUUUUCUAAAUCCUAACUGUGGGCAUAGUUGAAGUGAUCCCAUCAGGUAUUCAUAAACCGAAAAGUUUGACAAAAGAUAAGAAAUCGAAUCGAAAAGAUACGUUAGAAUAAAUAUACCCUUUUGGAAGUCUGAAUUAUUGUGUCCUUUGGAAAUCUGAGUUAUUGGGCCCUUCGGGAAGUCUGAGUUAUUGGGCCCUUCGGGAAGUCUGAGUUAUUGGGCCCUUCCGGAAGUCUGAGUUAUUGUGCUCUUCGGGGAAUCUGAAUAAUUAUGCCCUUCGGAGAAUUUGAAUGAUUAUGCCCCGACAUCGAGGGAUUCUGGUCAGGUGAACCCAUGGGGGACCUCAGUUUAAUAUGGAUAAUUAAUUACAAAUGCCCUCCGGGCAGUUGGAAUGGGAGAACCCAUGGGGGAACUUGAGUCUGAACCUGACGAGGCGAAUGGCCCGACGAGGCAGUUUGGUCGGAUCACUUCUCCGGGAUGAUUCGAGUCUGGUUGAGAUUGUAUUCCGCACAUGAUCGAGUCAAGAGAAUGGUGAAAGUCAUUCCCAAGAGGGAGCUUGGGGCUCUAAGAGCGUCUGGACAGACCAAUUCAACUGGAUACUAAAAGAGAGAUAAGGGUUUAAAGAAAAUAAUGAAAAAUGUAAUUCGUUAGGUUAGAGAUAUCUUGUUGAAAGCAAAACUCAUUUCCGUUAUUAAUUGUUUACUUGCAGAUUGAGGAGCAGUGGCAGUAGACUACAUAGUUUUUUUGAAAAUUUAUCGUUUUCACGUCUAUAUAAAAAUUAUGUAUUUGAACCUUAAACUAUGUAUAAUAACGUUCAACCAAAUGUUUAAAAUAAUAAACCACGAAGAAAAAACUAUAACACUACAAGAAAACACAGCUAGCAAAAAACGUGGCUAAUUGUUGAAUAUUAGCCACGGCUAAUUUAAAUAUUUAGCCACAGAUGUAAAAAUCCGUGGCUAAAUUUCUCGGCAAAAAUUCCUUCCAUUUUUUCAUUAAAUAUUUAGCCACGGAUGUAAAAAUCCGUGGCAAAAUUUCCCGGCAAAAAUUCCUUCUAUUUUUUCACUCAUAUUUUAUCACGAAUUUGAAGGAACCGUGGUUAAUUUAGUGACAAUUAAAUUAACCACGGCAUUUAGCCGUGGCUAAUGAUUAUAAUAUAUAUAUAUAUAUAUAUAUAUGUAAAUGUACAAAAUUAGUGUUAGGGUUAAUAGAAAUUAACAAAAAUUAAUAAAAAAAAUUAAAAAUUAGUAAAAAAAAGUAUAUAUAUAUAUAUAUAUGUAGAUAGUGUUAGGGUUAGAAGUUAGGGUUAGAAGUAAGGGUUAGAAGUAAGGGUUAGAAGAUAGAAGUUAGGGUUAGAAGAAGUUAGAUUAUAGUGUUAGAGAUAGAUAGUGUUAAUUAGUGAUAUAUAGUGUUAUGAGUUUUUCAAAUUAUAAACUAACUUUAUUUUAAAUUAUAAAUUAAAAGUUAUUUUAAAUUUUAAAGUUAAAAUUAAAUUUAAAGAAGGUAUUUUAAUUUUUAAAGUUGUAAAUUCAAUUAUAAAAGUUAUUUUAAAUUAUAAAUCCUAAAAAGUUAAAAAUUAACAACUAGUGAUAUUUUUUAAAAUUAUAAAAAUAUCACUUCUUAAUAUUAACUUUAGUAGGUUUGUCUAAUUUAAUAAAUUUUAAAUUCGAAAAUUCAAUUUAAUAAAUUAGAUAUUUUAAAACUUAUAAAAUAACUUUAUUUUAAAUUAUAAAAAAUUAAAGAAGUUAUAAAUUAUAGUUAUUUUAGAUAUUUUAAACUUUAAAGUGAAAAAUUAAAUUUAAAAAAAUUAUUUGAAAAUUAUAAAUUCAAUUAUUAAAGUUAUUUUAAAUUAUAAAUCCUAAAAAGUUAAAAAAUUAACAACGUACUAGUGAUUUUUUUACCCGAUUACCGCGCGAUUACCAAAAACAGCCACGGCAUAAUCCGUGGCUAAAUUAAAUGGUCGUGGCUAAAUAAAUCAAUUCCGUGGCUAAAAAUCAGUAGCCACCAGACCUACAACCACGAAUUUUAUCAUUUAACCAGUGAACUUGGCCGUGGCUGUGUUCCCUGUUUUCUUGUAGUGUAAUAAAAAUCUAUAAAUUUAUGAGAUGUUACAAGUUUGGAUCAGGUAUUUUUCUGGGUAAAUUCUUUUAGGACGUCGAAAUCGUGAUAGGGAGACAUUCAAAUCUGGUGAAUACGGAAAUAUAUCUUCCCCUGACUCUUUUUAUAAUCGAAUUGAAGAUGGCAUUCUCCUGUGUCACGUCAUCAGGAUAAAGUAAAUGUGAGUCCCCUCGAAAAGACUCCUGCUCCCAAGCGUGGAGGGGGAGUCGUACUAAUGAUACCUAAAAUAUUGGGCUCUAGCCCAAUACAUUCUCCCAUCCCAGAUCGAGUAAGGGCGCCACAGAUGCAGUACGUCAGAAUAGGUCAGUGUUUGUUUACCCAACGUGCCCGUCGUCCCAGAUAUAUGUUCUCCUGGCCCGUCCCAUAUCGUCAUGAGGUUGGGUACCAGACUCGGUCCAGAAGGUCGAUCAUGCCAAUGUGAUCGAAGAGCUUAUAUAAAUACGGUAAGUUUUAGGUGCGCCGCCGUACGUCGGUGCGCCAAAAUACGUUGUUUGCAUCAUGUCCAUUAAUUUUUAAUCCAAUAACUAAAAUAAUGUACUACACAAACACAAUGACACAUGUACGACGAAAAAAAUAUAUAACAAAAGAUAUUAACUCAUGUACGACGAAAUGUCGAUCUAAUGGUCAGGAUUUUUUUGCGUAUUGAAAUUCGACGCACAAGAAAUUUACCCUAUAUAAAUAGGAUCGAUCCAGGGUGCUCCUGGAAAGGGGGUUGAUAGUAUUUGUAUAGUAGAAGUAUGUAAAAAUGGUGUUUAGAAGAAGAAGAUGGAAGAGGUAGGUGAAGCCAAACAUUUACUCAUCAUCAACAUUUGAAUCCAAUAUUUUUUGAUUUCUUUCUUCAAAACUUCGUCUUCCAUUAGUGAUUAAUUUAGAAAAAUGGCAAUGAAUUAAUUGACAAAACACCAUAAAAAAAGGCAACACAGAGAAAUGAAACAAUCAUAGUAAUCAUUUAAUUAGCUAGUGACAGAAAACACACAAUGAGCAUGAAUAGAUUUGAUUAUUAAUAAUUGAAUGUGUUUGGUGAUUAUUAGAAUGUAAAGGUCAAAUGGCAUGAAUGCAAGAGCCGUCAUUACUGCAGACCAUGCAACUCUGUGGGGAAUCUCUAUGCUCGUGUCUGAACACUGAAGGCCCCAAAUUAAACCAUAAAAUUUAGAUCUAAACAAGUGCAAGGUAGAGAGAAGAGAUGGAAGAAAGCUCACCUCCCUCUGCAAAACCUAAUUCCAAGAACAGACAGCUAGCUAGACUUUGGAACAAAGCAUGCAUACACGUGUUGGUGUGAGAUUUAGACCAUUUCGAUCACAUCUGAUUCCGAUGAAACAGAAAGACUUAACUUGGAAGCAGAAACAGGAGUUCCUUCCUAUCCCAGCUAUUGGGUCGAUCUCUCUCUCUCUAACUAUAUUUAUAGUUAUUAGUUAAUUACUACAUAGAUAGAUUAAAGAAUUAGGGUUUCAAUAUUUUUUACAGAUUAAUGAAUGAGCUUUAAUUUAGCAGCAGCUACCUAGAGGCUAGCUUAAGCUAGGAUAUCAUUCCCAUGAUAAAAUUAAGAUAUGACAAUUAACACAGGCUUUGUUUCGUAUUAUCCGGCCAGUUCUGCAUGCUAUAGCUAUAAGCUAUUUGAUUGGUAAAUUAAAGAUGAGGAGUUAAUUAAUUAUAAUCCCAUGGUCUACCAGCUGCAAACAAUUCAAGCUAGAAAGUAGCUAGCAAAUAGAAGAUAGAGAAAGGAUGAGGAAUUCAGGGUCGACGGUGAGCAUCUGAAACAAUUAAAAGGAGGUGCUGGACUCCGGAGCCGGCGCCGGGGACAGGGUGAGAUGGAUGGAUGGAGAAUAUAAGGUACGGUGCGAAUUAAAUUGUACAAAUUAAAUUAACACAUGCAAAUUCCUACCCAACGAUGAGUGAUCGAUCAUCUUCAGACCUUGUUGUGGUUUUUUCAAUGGUUAUCGGCAUCAGAAAGGUGGACGUCCGGCUACACCACCUGCCCAUCCAUGCCCGUCCACUGGCAUCUGGCAAUUUGCCAGAGGCAAGUUGAAAAAUGGUAAACCCGAAGAUGGGUCAGGAAAAGAGUUCCCACCCCCACUGUUUCCGUUGACGUUACCAUCAUCAGCUCCGGCCAAUCCAAGGGUCUGUGAGUGCAACUGCGCCUGAUCUUCUUCCUCUAACGGAAGCCGUUCGUACGCAACGUUAGUGAAGGAUGCUGCGAUGACAAUGACCGGACCGACUGCGGUUAGUUCUCCAACAACAUUCCCUCCCACAACCUGACCUUGUCCGCCAGCUAAGAAGAUGGUGAGACUGGUCGCACCUGGUGGAGCCGGUGGUGGUAGGAAAGAACCCGAAAGGGAUAAGAUCUCAAAUCGGCCAUGGAGUGUGACAACUGCACCGGCAGUUGCAGGCUGACGCAGACUUACGUUAGUCACUGUGCCGCUACCACUCAGAACACACACUCCACGCUGACGACGGCGUGCGUAGGUUGCCACAGAUUCAAACACAUCAGAUCCGCUAGCUAUCUCCAAGAUAUGCGCCCGCAGCGUGUUGGCACUUUCCCUGGUGAUAAUUACUGGGGGCUUGGGCUUAUUUUUCGAUCCCGCUGGACGACCACGUGGACGGCGACCUGAACCAUCACCAGAUCCUCCUGAUACCAUCAAGUUCCUAUCCACUGAAGAAAAACUCAACCGUUAUACAUAAAUCAUGAUAACCAGGAAAUACCCAUUACAUAAACCGAUGAAAGACUGCCUGUAGAUGGAUAAUUUUAUAGAUCGAUCUAACCUGAAUCUGACACAACCAUGUCUUGAUUGUGUUGGCCAAAAUCAUCAUGGCCAUGGGCAUGGGUGUGGUGGUUGUGGUGGUCACCGUUUGUGUUAUCAUCUCCAUCUGAGUGUUGAAGAUGAAGAUCAGGGCGAUGGAGUUGAUGAUGGACAAAACGGGAUGUGGCUCCUAGAUCCAAGCCUGCCAUACUAACAUAGAAAGGGAAAAAAUAUAUAGAAAAACAAACAAGGAUGAACAGUUUUUUUUUUCUAAGAAUUUUUUUUUUUUAAAUGCAAGAGAAAGUAGAAAAAGUGGAUAGAAUGAAUAUAAAAAACUGAGCUUUUCUUAUAUUAUAGAUGGUUGAGGAGGACCGAAGAGAAGAAGGGCAGAAGAGAGUGUGAGAAAAAAUUAUUAAAACCAAUUCAAGGAAUAGAAAAAGAAAGAGGAAGCAGCCAAGCAGGUGGAGGAGUGCAGGCAAAGUAAGAUGAAGAAAUAAGAAGACAGAGAAAGAGAAAGAGAGAGCUAUGGUGGUAGCCGGUGGUGGUGGUGGUGGAUGAUAAAAUAUUAAACUCUUGGUGUUCCUUUCUCUUUAUCUGCACAACUAUGUGGCGAUGAUGAUGUUAAUUAUAUAUUAAUACAUCGGGAAUCAUAAACUAAUACAAUUUGCAUUAAACUAUGGUUAAGGUGUGGAAUGUGAUGCAUACAUGCUGUGUUGACUAUGGGUUAGGGUUCAUCGACUUCUUCAAUUCCUUCUUUUAAUUUCUACCUCCUCCGAUGUCAUCCGAUGUCCGAUCUCAUCCUUCUCCAUGGCUUUUUUGAGACUUGAGUUUGGAAUUGAUUGAUUGAUCUGCUCAAGCAGAAAUGAUGAACUGAUGAUGAGGCAAGCAGCGCAGGCAGGCGGCCGGAGACUGAUUAAUUAUGCACAUAUAUAUAUAUAUAAUUGAAUCGACAAUUAAUUAAUACCCUAAUCAUUUAAUCAAAUGUUUCGUGCACUUAACUAAUUGAGAAGUAAUUAAGAAGCCAGUAGCUUGCUAGAGAGCAAGAAACUAAGAAAAUUGAAUUGAUUUUGUGCAUGCAAAUUGUGAGAGUCUGGAGAUCGAUCUGUAAACGGGGGGCACGGCGGCUGUCGGCUUCCUUCAUCGGGAGUUGGACUGGUCAAACGUUUUUGUCCAAGCAUGGGUGAGAGCGGAGGAUGCAUGGAUGCCUCCAACCAACCCUUUAAAUCAGGUGGGUGUGUUUUGAUUUUUGAAGGAGAAAGAAACUAGCAGUAAACACAGUGAAUACGUUGCUAUUGCCCGAGCCCCGAGCUGUCUGUUUGUCUCUCUGUCUCUCUGUCCGUCGUGUUCAUCGCCAUGCACUAGCUCUUCUUUUACAUCUAGUCUCUUCUUCGAUCUUCUGAUCAUCUUCACUACUUCGUGACUUCACCCAUGUAGUCAUGGGAGUUUGGGUUCUCUUUUGCACAUGGCAUGGAAAAAAAGCUCUAUUUAUUUUUAUUAUUAAAAAACACACCUUGCAGCUGCUGCUGACUAGCUUACCAUGCAUUGGAACCCUAACCCCAAAUACUUUUUAAUAUCUAAAUCACCCCCCGUAGUUUUCGGGCUUCAUUUUCCUGUCAGAUCAUACCUAGCUACCUACCUAUCUAUCUGGCUAUAUGUCAGCUUCCUACACCUACGAAUCUACCUCUCUUGGUGUCGAUCUCUUUUGUCAUCUGUUAGUACUGCACUGCACUCCUCUUUCAAUCUUUCAUGCUGUUCUUUCUCCAUGACAAACUUCAAACUAGGGUUGGUUCAUAUUCAAGAUCAAGUUGUUCAUGCACUUGGACUUGGCUGGAUCGAUCGAUAUAUAGAGCAGCAGAAGCUGUUUGUUGUCGUCGUCAUCAUUGAUUCAAUAUAUUUUAUUGAUCGUAGAUGCAUGUAUAUAAUAUUGGUGAGCGCAGUGGUGGCAUCGUGUUGAAGAUGCUCCUUGUCGUGGUGUGUUUAUACUAUAUAUAUAUACAUAAUACAUUUCGAUCUUCUUAUGUUGAUAUAAAAUUGAUUGAGUUCAGCAGCAGAAGCAGAAACCUUUCAGCAUGAUGAGUGAUGACCGAUGGAUCAUGGAUGUAUUGGACCAGACAGUUGGGUCAAGUUAGUUAAUAAUAGUUUGUUAGUAAUAAUAGUGUGUUGUAUAACAAUAUUUAAUUUGAAGUAAUUCAAUCAAAUCGAUUCAGUCUACUCUCCAUCGAUUCUGAAUACUCUAUACACUACAAAAAAAACAUUUUUUUUCUUCUUCUGAUGGGUAAUUCCUGACGAUCUAGCCUAGUGGCUGCUAGUGGCUGCUAGUGAUGUUUUUACGUUAAUACUUACGGCUUGGUUGCCAGUAAGCACCAAGAGUCCACCAAUGUUAUUUUUUUUUCUUAAAUAAAAGAUAUUUUUGACGGCUUGGUCGUUGGUGUAAUUUUUCUCUUUAAAUUAUUGACGACUAAACCAUUGGUAAUGUUUUUCUUCAACGGUCGAGAAAACAUUACCGACGACUAGACCGUCAGAAAAUUUUGAAACUCUGACCUAAAUAACCCUAGUCAACUUGCACUGCUAUGGUCCACCUACAUUAGUAAAAGAGAACUUAGGUCGGCAUCGUCUAUAAAGGAGGAUCGACAUCCGUUGAAACUAACACUCAGUCAUUGGUAAAACUAUUUAAAUCUAAUUUGUUCAUUUUUUAUUUCAACUAAUUGAUCAUUUUUUCAUGAUACAGAGUUUGAAACUAAGUCGACCAGCUUCUUUUACAGAAUCUUUUAUGGUCACGCAUUAUCCGAUAAACGAUAGAGGCAAAGCUCUAAUGGUACGUAUUUAAAUAUCAAUAUUUUAUAAUUUCCUUCUUUUUCAUUACUAAUUCAUUUAUUUGUUUUUUAUAAUAGUCGGAUUACGAAAUGUACAGAAAAAAACAUUUCGAUAAACAACAAUCAAUAGAUGAAACCGAGGAGGAAUCAACUGACGAAGAACAAAUGUCGACGCAAGGAUCAACCUCCUACGGGCAAAAAAAGGCGUUAUUCAUUGAUGACAGUCUGGAAGCUUGGAUUAAGGCUACGGGAGGCAAGACGAAAGGACAUAUUCUCGAAAUAAGACUGGGGGACGAUUCAUUGAUGCCAAAGAAAUCUAAGGCUAAAAUAGAUCGCCAAACAAAAGAAGAAAUAGAAAAGAAGAAACAAAAAGAAAUCGAUAGUCGUGUUAAAGUAGCUGUUAACAUGGAAUUAAAAGUCGUUAACCAGAGAUUCGACACGGUUAGCCAACAACUGGAGGCCUUGAUGAAAAAACAUAAUGACUUGUUAGACAAAAUCGCUACUGACAACAUAAUGAAAGUAAGUUAUUUAAUACUUAUUCAAAUUCUUAGUAUAAACGUUAAGUUAAUCGAUCAAAAUUAUUUUGUUGUUUUUUGAGAGGGAAACACAAGCACGAGCACAAGUCAAUUAGCGAUUGUUCCAAGUAAGAAUCCUCCAAAUUCUCCUUUGAAUCUUAAAGGUGUAUUAAAAAAAAAUAGUUGAAUUUUACUUUGAAUAAUUUGAAUGUAACACUACAAGAAAUAAGACCUUGUAUGACGGUCUUUAGAUGGCGGAUUUCCACCAUCUAAAGUGAUCGUCCGCGGAAAUCCGUCAUCUAAAGAUCGUCAUCUUGGACACCGUCAUUAAAACCCCACAACCGCCAUCUAAAGACCGCCAUCUAUUAUCCAUCCCCAUUUCCCACCAAAAAUUGUAUAGAUAGCGGAUUUCCGCCAUCUAAUCUGAAAAUUUUCGCGGGAACUGAAAAGUUUUAGAUGACGGAUUUCUGCAAUCUAAAAUAUAACGCGGAAAAAGUUUGACGCCAAUUCAUUGAUGGCGGUUAAUUUUAUUGAUGACGGAUGUCCGCCGACUAUCUUUGUAACAUUAGAUGGCGGAUUUCCGCCAUCUAAAGUACAGCAGACGGUUCCCUAAGUUUAUAGAUGACGGAUAUCCGCCAUCUAUUCGUGGGAGAGGGCGAUUGUGCCCAUAUAGAGAUGGCGGAUUUCCGCCAUCUAAAACUUAGUAGAAGAGUAUAGAUGGUGGAAAUCCGCCAUACAAUGUUUGUUUCAUUUUUUUUUUUAAAACAGGAUUCUAUAUUUUGCGUUCGAAUCGUUGUUUUUUGAAAUAAAAAUCGAUAUUUGAGAAAACGAUUUUGAAAUUGAAAUUGAAAUCGAUGUUUUUAUUGAAAAUAAACUAAAAUACAUAAUCGUUAAACAUUCGAUGUUUGAAUAAGAAAAUAUAAAAAUAGUUUCAUCAACACUCGUCUGAAAUUGAGUCUUCUGAAUCAGAAUCCGAAUUAUCUGAUUCGAAUGCAGACGGUAUGGUGGACUUUGAUGUUGAAGCCAUAUGCGUCAUGUCGAGUCCGGAAGUCUUCAAAGUUUUAUUGAGUUUCUUCAUAUAAGAUUUCAUUGCAUUGAACUUCUUCUUGUAUUUGGAGACGACUUUCUGACUCUCGUUACACUUGUUCUGAAAAUGAAAACAAAAAUGAGUUCGAUAAUCAACAAAAUUAUUGAAAUAUAUUUAAAAUACCUCCAAUUCUUUGAAUUUUUCCGACCAAACUGCAUCUGGUAUUGCAUCAGUAAUCGUGUUUUCGAAGAUCGGCUCUUUUCCUUUUCAAUUUGGAGAAGCUCAUAUUUCGUUCGUUGUGCUCACCAUACUGGCAGCUUCUCCAAUUCCUAUUAUUCUAUUCUUCUUAUUUUUUCCGAAAGUCUUGUUGACCGUCGCUUCGAUAAAUUGCUGCAUUAUAAAAAAAAAAAUAAGAAAUGCGAAAUAUAUUUAAAAUAAUCAAUGGAACUUACAAAUGGAGUCAUUGCUUCAGAUUCAACCCACGAUUUUGCCUCUUGACUUUUGAUAAAUUCCGUGGCUUCAAGCUGAAAGAAUAACAAAAUCAAACAAUGAUAAUAGAAAUUAUAAAAUAUAAAUAAUUUUAAAAAAAGACUUACAACUUUAUCGCUUUCCUUAUAUGUCAUUUGUAAAGUUUCUGACCAAGCUUCGACUUCACUUCUUCCUUGUUGCAUCUAUAUUCACAUAAUUCAUUAAUAUAUAAAAAAAUUAGAUAUAAAUUAUAACGAAUGGUGUGAUAACACCGAUCAUAACGAAAAAAGUAAACAUAAUCUGAAAUAUUUAAAUUUUAAAAUAAAAUUAGUUAUUUUAAAUACAUAACCAGACACCCGUAUAUGGGGUCUUGGUCUGAUACAACAACCAAACAUUUUUCCUAUUGUAAUUUACAUUCUUUAUUAUUAGACACAACAAAUCUUCGAAGUCGUCGUGAGAAGAGUUGUAUUCGAUUUUGAAUGAAUGUGUGCCACCACAAUCAUUCAACACUCUAGGUUCGUAUCCUAACACUAAAAUAUGAUCGGUUUUCAUUGUUUGAGGAUUUGUCGACCAUAUUUUUGGACAGUUGUGAAAAUGAUGACCGUUGACUCCGCAACGGAAACAAGCAAAAACACGACAAUAAUAAUCUAUGUUUUUUAAAAACUACGUUAAAUCUGAUUAAGUUGCUCGAGUCGUUCAUAUCGUUCGACGAUUGCAAGUAGUUGACUCAUUUUUUACUGAAAAAAAGAAAUAUCUAUAAUCAACAUAAUAUUACAUUCAAAAUAUUAAAUUAUAUUGUAAUGUAAUACUUUAUAAUUUAAUUACAACAAUCAUCAUUAUCGACAUCGAAAAUAUCUCUAUUUGGUAUUUUAAGGACUGAACUCCAUUCAGAUUCUACCGGAUCUUGAAUGUAGAAACAUUGUUGAGCCUGAUUUGCCAAAAUGAAAGGUUCCUUUCCAAAUUUCCCCCGUGUCGUGUUCACAGAAACGACACCAAAAUCAUCUACUUUAGUACCUGCUUUUCCAGGAUCGUACCACUUACAUUCAAACAGACAAUAUUCAGUCGUGUGACCGUAGCAAAUUUCGAAAACAUUUUCUAAUAAUCCAUUGAAGCCAAACAACUUGGUCCGCGGGAAAUAGAAUUUAAAUCUGUGUCAGAUUGUUGAGAUUCGGACAUGUAUUUUUUAAACCAUUCGACAAAUUGUUUGAAGUGUAAAUUUUCCAGACGGAGCUGUGUGUGUUUUGGAAACAUAACUUUCAAUUGCUUCAAGUAUUUAUGUCGAUAUGGUUCGAUACUUUCAAGGUCAAACAAUAUACAUUGAUGCAACUGUUUCUGUUGUAAAGUAGUCAACGUUAUAUCAGUUGGUGCAUUUAAAAACCCAUCGAUAUACCAAUUUGGCCGAUUUGAUUUUGUCUCGACAUUUUGUAAAAACCGAGAACAAAACGUCAUUGACUCUUCAGCAAGAUAAUUUUCCGCAAUAGAUCCUUCCGGGUGACUACGUACGGUCACAUGAUUUUUUAAAGUCAAAAGAUACCUAAAAUGAGAAUAUAUAUUGUAUGAUCAAAACAUAUUAAUUAUAAAUUUAUUUAUAAUUGUAUAAAUAUAUAUACCUCUCAAUCGGAUACAUCCAUCGAUAUUGUACCGGUCCAGCUAUUUUCACUUCAGUAGCUAGAUGGACUGUCAGAUGAACCAUUACAGUAAAAAAACCGGGAGGAAAGAUUUUCUCAAGAUUGCAUAAUGUAUAUAUAAUUCUUUUCUCCCAUCGUUCCAUAAGUUUGAUUUCGAUCACCUUCGAACAAAUAUCGUGGAAAUAUCCGCAAAGUUCAACGAGAACCGAAGUCACUACAGGUUUUGUCGAUUUUCGUAAUGCAAUAGGAAGUAACUGUUGCAUUAUAACGUGACAAUCGUGACUUUUUAAUUCGAUAAAUUUUCUUUCUUUCAUUUUCAGUUGCUAAACCAAGUCUCACAUUACGAGGUUCGGAUGCAAAUUUGGGAUGAACCUCGUCAAAUUUCUUCCAUUGUAAAGAAUCUGCUGGAUACCAAAGAAAUCCGUCGUCUUUACGUUUGGAAUGGUGUCAUAUCAUGUCUUCAGAAAUUUUGGAACACAGAUACAAUCUCUUCAAACAUGGAAUCAACGGAAAGUGGCGAAGACAUUUCGCUGGAACACGUUUGUUUUUCUGAACGCCUUCGACGACCCACCUGCACGUUCCGCAAUUUGAGCAAGUUUCUGCGUCUGCAUGCUCAUUUCGAUAUAAAAUACAAUCGUUGCGACAUGCAUCGAUUUUCGUAUAAUUGAGGCCCAAGUCACGAACUACCGAUUUCGCAUGGUACAUGGUUUUCGGAAUGGUCGACUCCCCAUUUGGAAUAGCACGACGCAUGAUGGAUAAUAAUUUCUGAAAACUUUUAUCACUCCAAUGAUUGUCACAUUUCAACUGAUACAAUUCCAAGAUAAAAGAUAGUUUGGAAAACUCUGUGCAACCUGGAUAUAACUGUUCUUCACCUUCUUUUAGACGGCGUAAGAACGAAUCGUCAUAUCUGUGCUCUGGAUCUUCGUCGAUUGGAUCUACAUCAACUGGAUCUUCAUGGACAGGCUCGUAUUCGAGAGGUUCUGUUUCGAGAAAAUCUUCGUCGAUUGUAUUCUCAAUUACAUGUUCUCCGUAAACCGCACGAAACAAUCCAAUCAUAUCGUUACCAGUUUCCGGCACUGUCUCUUUUCGUUUCACUUUUUUCUCACCAUAUCUACUCGGUAACUCUCCGUGACGCGUCCAAACAUCGUAAUGUUUCAACCAACCAUUUAUGAAAACAUGCUUCCUCAUCUCCUUUAUAGGAAUCACUUCACUAUUCGUGCAGGACGAGCAUGGACAAGGUAAAUAACCUUCUGGGUGAGUCGAAUUCGAAAUGACGAAAUUAGUGAAAGUGUUAACCCUUCACCGUAUUCUUUCGAAAACCGAUCUAAACUCAUCCAAGCUUUAUCGGGUACUUUCAUGACGUUCGACAUUAUCCUAAAAAUUAAUUUUUUUAUCGAAUUAUAAUUAAUUAGAUAAAAAUUAAUUGACUAUUACAAUAUUAAUUAUAGUUCAAUUAAUAUUAAGUUCAUUUUUUUUGGGAAAAUCUAACUAAUUAUUGAACUAUUCCGAAUCUGUUUCAUAAACAACUUUCUUCGGAGUUGCUGGUUGCGGAACUGGAGGGGCCGGUGCUGGACGAACAGGUGCCGGCGGUGCGGGAUAGGCCGGUGCUGGACGAACAAGUGCCGGUGCUGGAUGAACCGGGAGAUAAAACCGGAAAGCAUCUUGGGGAUUGGGUGGUAGAGCCCUCUUACGAGGUAAUUGCUUUACUCUACGUGGCAUUUCUUAAAAUCUAAAAAAUUAAUUUAUUAAUUAUUAAUUAUCAAAUAAUUAAAUAAUCAUUCAUUUUUAAACAAAUAAUAUUUUUAUUAAUUAACAAAUUUAAUUUCAUGGCAAAUUAAUAAUUAUUAUUUCAAUUUAAAAUCAUUCAAUUUAAUAAUUAUUCAUUAACAUUUCUAUAAUUUCAUGCAAAUUAAUUAAUCAUUAUUAUUUCAAUUUAAAAUCAUUCAAUUUAAUAAUUGUUAAUUAACUAAUUUAUAAUUUCAUGCAAAUUAAUUAAUUAAAUUGUUCUAACAUUAAUUAAAUAGUUUUAAAAUAAAAUGAUAAAAUAUUUCAUUAUUAACAAAUUUUUCAAAUCAUUUCAUGCAAAUUUAAUAUAAUUUAUAAUUUAACAAAUUAUUAAUUAUUAUUCAAUUGUUAAUUUCAUGCCAAAUAAUAAUUUAAUAUACUAAUUGUUAUUUCAAUUGAAAGUUAAAAUGAUAAUUUAAUCAUUUAAUUUUACAAUAAAUUUAAUAAUUUAAAAUUUAUUUGACUAAAUAAAUAUAUUUAAUUUUUUUACGCAANNNNNNNNNNNNNNNNNNNNNNNNNNNNNNNNNNNNNNNNNNNNNNNNNNNNNNNNNNNNNNNNNNNNNNNNNNNNNNNNNNNNNNNNNNNNNNNNNNNNNNNNNNNNNNNNNNNNNNNNNNNNNNNNNNNNNNNNNNNNNNNNNNNNNNNNNNNNNNNNNNNNNNNNNNNNNNNNNNNNNNNNNNNNNNNNNNNNNNNNNNNNNNNNNNNNNNNNNNNNNNNNNNNNNNNNNNNNNNNNNNNNNNNNNNNNNNNNNNNNNNNNNNNNNNNNNNNNNNNNNNNNNNNNNNNNNNNNNNNNNNNNNNNNNCAACUAGUUAGUAAAUUAUUUAAUUAUUUAAAAACAUUUAAAAGUAUUAAAUAAUUAAUUGAUUAAUUUAAAACAUGAAAAACAUUAAUUAUUUAACUAUUUAAAAAUAUUAUAUAAUUUAAUUAUUUAAAAACAGUAUUUUAAUUAUUUUAAUAACUAAUUAUUUUAAUUUUAAAAUAUUAAGAAACAGUAAUUAAAUAAUUAUUUAAUCUCGAUUUUAAAAAACCUAUAACAACCUAUAACAACCUAUAUAAAUAAUUAUUUUAAUAACUCAUACAUUAAAAAACAUAAACUCUUACUCAUUUUUUAUUUAACCUGAAAACAUACACAAAAAUAAACUAAGUAUCAAUUCAUACGUAUGGCACAAAAGUACAAUAUUCCAAACAGCAAAUUAAACCAUUUCAUCAUCAUCGUAAUUAAACAAAAAUAUAUUCCAGCAAGAUUUUAUCAUCAUACAAAAUAGAUAAACAUUUCAUCAAUAUACCUUCACAGAUCGAUACCUUCACAAAUUCAUAUAUUGAUAAAGUUUAGUAUAUAUUAAUAAAUCAAUAGAAAAGAUGAAGAAUCAUGAAAACUAAAGAUGAAACUAUACACUAAUUAAAAAAACUAAAACAGUACAUGAACUAACUAAAAAAUACAAUAACUAAAUGAUGCAAUAUAAUUCCAAUUACUUAAGACAACAGUACAUGAAAAUGUAUAAUUCAAAUUAAUAGAUUAUCAUUUCUUCUUUCUUGAACUUAAAGCAUGUAUUUGAAAUUAAUCGAUAGAUAGAUACAUACGAACAGAGAUAAAAUCAUAUAAAACAUCUCUCAUGUUACUUGCAGGACAGAGAUAAAAUCUCUCAUACGAAAAGAGAUAUCUUGGGUGGAUGAUUAAGUUUAGGUAGGAUGGAUAGGAUGAAGUAGAGAUAGCUAGAACCUAUUGAAUAUGCAACUGUAAUUUUAUGUUUGGUUAUGAUGGUUUUUGUUCUGGUCAAUUCCUUGAAGCUUAAAGUACUAAUAUUGUGUGAUGCAUGAGAUUGGAGUUCACAUCUUCCCGCAGACCAAAUUUUCUUGCACACAUGCUAUCUUAGUGGAGGGAAGGGGUAUGUAAUAUAAGAUGAGGAUUUUCCAAGAAUAGAUAUUGGCUAGAUUUUUAAAAUUUCUCAUUUUAAUUAGUUUGAAGAAAAUAACUCUGGAUUGGAAAUUUUGAUAUCUGUUUUUCUAGACAAAUCUUUUGAAGAAAACUAUCAUGAGUAGUUGCGUCAGAUCUGUGAACCAUCAAAAUGGAAAUCAACUCCCAUAAAAAACAUGGCACUAUUUAACAACUAACAUUAGAAGCCCUUCUUAUUUUCUCUGUAUAUAUUUGGAUCUCCUAACAUGGCACUACCUAAACUUAAUAUUUUCACAUACCCAAGAUAUCUCUCAAAAUCAAUAUCAAAAAUCUAUAACAAAUAUUGAAACAUAUAAAUAACAUCAUCUCACCAAAGCAAACACCGGAGCAAGGACGAACGGCGAGACCGGAGGCAGGGACGAACGGCGAGACCGGAGGCAGGGACACCGGAGCAAGGACGCACGGCAGGAGCAGGAGACCGGCGGCAACAGAAAUUUUCAGAACAGACGAGUUCUGUUCUGAUUUGGGGUUUUUAAUAAACCCCAAAACUUACAUGGCGGAUUUCCGCCAUGUAAGUACACUUAAGUUCCGCCGGGACUUCAGUGAAAUUCCGCCCAAUCGAAAUUUGACGGGCUUUUUCCGCCCGAUUCCCCGAAAACAUAACAUGACGGAUAUCCGCCAUGUUAUGACAAUUUAAUCGGGUAAUCGGGUUUAAUAUUGGGGGGAAUUGAAAAUUUGGGCGGGAUAGUUUAGAUGGCGGAUUUCCGCCAUCUAAACACCGCCAUCGAAAAUAAAUUUGAACCGCCGUCGAGCCAAAACGUAUCCUCGACGGACUCAAAGAAUAGAUGGCGGACAUCCGCCAUCUAAACAACUGGAUUAUUGAUGGCGGAAAUCCGCCAUCUAAGGACCGCCAUACAAUGUCCUUUUUUUUGUAGUGUAAAUUUGAAUAAAUUGUGAAUGAUCGAAUAAAUUUAUAUUUUUCUAUUGUGAAUUAUGAAUGAAUUGUAUAUUUUGAAUGAAUUGUGAAUGAAUUGUGAAUUGAAUCGAAUGAAUGUCUAUUUUCAGGUAAAAGAAUGAAUGUGUAAGGCUCCUAGAGAACACCCAUUAGUUUCGGCAAAUUUUUUUUUACCGACCUUAUUAAUUAGCGACGGCCUAGGGACGGCUAGUUGAAACAGUAAGAUAAAAAAAAUUAGCGACGGCUUAGAGACGACUUAGAGAUGGUUUUUCUGAAAUUUAGGGACGGCAAUGAAAAUUUGGGCGCCAAAAAAUUGGUGCGGGGAAAAUAAUUAGCGACGGCCAAAAUCCAUCGCCAAUCCUUCCCUAAUAAUUAGAGACGGAUAUGAAGACCAUCGCCAAAAAUCUAGUGAGGCGACUUUCAGGGAAGGAUUAGAGACGACCAAAAUCCGUCUAGACGUCGCUAAAAGUCAGUAAUCUGGUAGUGUUAAAUCGGCCACCCCAAAUCCCAAAAACUUCUGAGGGUUAAGCCGCAAGAAAUAUUUUUCCUGGGAAGAUUUUACUGGGGGUUAAGCCUCCAGAAAUAUUUUUCCUGGGAAGAUUUUACUGGAGGCUAAGCUGCCAGAAAUAUUUUCUCUAGAAAGGUGUUCCUGGGGGCUAAGCUGCUAGUAAACUUUUUCCCAAGAAGGUAUAUUACUGACAAUCAGUAUUAUUACAACGUUAAUCGGAUUUGGCAUUUAUUAAGCCGCUAGCAAAUAUAAUUUGGCGACAUUAUUAGUAACGUUGUCAUAUUGGCGGCCUGGCUGCCAGUAAUACCCGUCAGAAAAAAUUCAUUUUUUCUGUAGUGAUAUAUGGUAUCAGAUUAACGAUGAAGUUCAUUAUGUUUAGAUGACAACCACCAAUCCGCAUUCUUGGUCCCGACUCUCCGACGUUCGGGACAGUUGCUCUAAGAGUCUAGAUCUAUUAAGCAUGUUAAUUCUCAAUGUAUUCAUUAUCAAAGAUAUCCUUUACUUAUAUACUACACUUAAACACUAAUAUUCAGUUAACUAAACUAUCACAACUAACAACAGAUUAAAACUAAUUCUUCUUUCAUUUUAUUCUUCUCAUACUCCUCAAGACGAAGGUAGUAUUAUCGUACUGAGUCUUGAACCACUCCUAACCCAGCCAUCAUAUCAAUUGCAAUUAUCAUCCAGUUUUUUGAUCUAGAGUUGUAUACAUCUUUAUGAUUGUUGAUUAAUUGGAUUGAUAGUAAGGAUAAAAAACCCAGUAGGAUACAUACUUUUGCUCCUUUUUUCAUUUUCCUGGGAAAACCUAUCCUAUCAAGCCAAUUGAACCCAUCACUACUCUUUACUCUGUCAUCCUUCCCUUCUUGCUUUACCUGCAAAGAAACAAAGAACAACCACAGCCCAACAUAUCCACCAAAAAAAAAAUUUUGAGAGAAAAAAAAAACUAGUUCAACAUAUUAAUUACAUAUGAUCAUACAUAUCAACAUAUCAAAUAGUUUUAGUAAAUUUAAUCAGAAUUUAAGAAUUGAGAGAAAGUUUAAACAAUUGAUUUAUUUUUAUGACUCUCCAAAUUUUCACACAUCCUUAUUGUAAUUCUUUUUGUUAAUUCCGCAAACUUAUCAUUUCCUAAUGAUUUUGAUCUGCCAAUUGAUCAAUUGUCGGUAUAUAUCUUAUUUUUAACGCUCUUUUUUUAAUUAACUCUCUUACAUAAUGAUAGUCCGUAUCUAUGUGUUUGGAUCUACUACUACUAACCGGAUUUGAAGCAAGAAAUAUUGCAGAAAUAUUAUCAUAAUAUAAAGUUGGCGAUGGGAUCGAUAAAGAUCCCUACACAAUAGAGAACACCACCUUAUCUCAGUUGUAGUAUACCCUAUAGAUCUGUAUUCCGUCUCUGCACUUGACCUUGACACUGUAACUUACUUUUUAGAUGACCAUAAAAUCAAAUUACUUCCUAAGAAUAGACAGAUGUCUGUUACAGAUUUCCUAUCAUUUAAAUCACCCGCAAAAUCUGAGUCACAAAACCCUACUAUUUUUGUUGAUAUAGAUUUUGUAAUAUGCAACCCAUUUAAUAUUGUUCCUUUAACAUACCUUAGAAUUCUUUUAGCUGCUGUCAUAUAUGUAGUUCUAGGUAUCUACAGGAAUUGGGAUACUUGAUUCACAUAGUAUGCUAGAUCAGGUCUGGUCAAUGUUAGAUACUAUAGCGAUCCAACAAGCAUUCUAAAUGGUUUAGGAUCCUUUAAAAUUUCUCCCUCAUUAGCUACCAAUUUUGAUCCUGACAAUGCUGGUGAUCUGAUAGGUUUACACAAUGACACAUUAAACUUGACUAAUAAUUCUGUUGCAUAUCUUGAUUGCGUAAGCAUAAGAGAUUUAUCUUUUUGUCUGGUAACUUCAAUUUCAAUAAAUGUUCUUAGGAGUCCUAGAUCUCGACACUUAAACUCUAGGCAAAUUAUUUUUAUAAUAUUCUCUAUUGCAUGAGUAUUAUCUCCCGUUAUUAUCAUGUCAUCAACAUAAACUAGAACCCAUACAAUGUAAUUAUGCUUUCUUAGCACAAAUAAUGAUGCAUCCGUCGGACUAUUUUUAAAUCCAAUCUUUACUAAGAAAUCACUCAAUUUAGCAUACCAAGUCCUCGGUGCUUGCUUUAGUCCAUAAAUGGCCUUUCUAAGCCUACAUACAUGAUCCGGAUACUUAUUAUCUAUAUACCCCGAAGGUUGCUUCAUAUAGACUUCUUUUGAUAACUCUCCCUGUAGAAAGGCAUUCUUUACAUCCAGCUGCCUUAAAGUAUAUCCUUUUGUCGCUGCUAUAGCUAAUACUAUUCUAAUAGUGGGUGAUUUUACUACAAGACUAUAUAUCAGAUUAAAGUCUAUAACCUCUAUUUGCUUAAACCCCUGGGCUACUAAUCUGGCUUUAUACCUAUCAAUCGAACCAUCAUUCUUUCUCUUAAUCUUAUAUACCCACUUACAUCCUACAAUAUUCAUUGAGGAAUCUAACGAUACUAAUUCCCAAGUUUGAUUUUCCUUAAGAGCAUUAUAUUCUUCACUCAUAGCCUUACACCAUUUUUCCGACUUGAGCGCUUCUCCUAGUCCUUUUGGUUCUCUAUUUUCUAAGUCAAAUAUGUCUGCUAUAAGAGCCUUUGGCAGCAAAUAACUUGAUCUAAAAUCUUUAGCAAGUCCCAAUGGUGCAGAUUUUAAUCUCUUACUUCUUCUAUUUGUUUGCCAAUUGUUUCCCUAGACAUCCUAAUCUCAUUAUCUUCAUUCCUUAUUUGCUCAAUAGAACUAUCUUCAUGAUUAGGUUGUCUUGUUUCACCUCUACCUUCACUCCGACUUAUCUCAGUAGUACUAAUAGGAUCUAUUGCAGAAUUUUCUAAUUCCCCAUAUGACUCUUGACUUCUAGUAUUUUGGUGUUCAAUAUUCCUACUAAAUAUAAACUUGGGUACAUGAAUAUUAUCUAUUACUUUCAGAAAUUUUAAUCCUACAUUCUUAUUGACUGUUUCUAAUUCUUUAGUAUAUUGAAAAGGAAAAAUUCCUUCAUGAAAUUUUACAUGUCUUGAAACAAUCAUUUUGUUUGUCCCUAAGACUAAACAUCUAUAACCCUUAUGUUUAGGUGAGUACCUUAGAAAGCAACACCUAGCCGCCUUAAGGGAAAAUUUAUCCCUUUUUGUCUUAGGUAAAAGGGGAAAGCAUAAGGAUCCAAAAAUCCUUAAAUACUUGUAGUCUGGUUUUCUAUUAAACAAAACUUCAAAUGGAGAUUUAUUCUCUAUAUUAGGAGACGGUAACCUGUUUAUUGUAAAAAUUGCUACUAAAGCAGCUUCAUCCCAAUAAAUUCUAGGUACCUUAGAUUUGAAUAAUAAACACCUAACUGUUUCAAUCAAGUGUCUAUGUUUUCUUUCAGCUAUACCCACCUGUUCAGGGGUAUAAGGAGAAGAAAAUCUCUGAAGAAUUCAUCUUUGUUUCGUGUAAAUUUUGAAUUCCUUAUUUAGGAAUUCUCUUCCUUAAUCUGAUUGGAUUAUCUUAAUUCUAUAAUCUAAAAGAUUUUCAGCAAUAUUUUGAAAAACUUUAAAAUUGCUGAAAACUUCACUCUUAUUUUUCAGUGGAUAAAUCCAAGUAUACUUACUAAAUUCAUCCACUAGAAUUAAAUAAUAUUUAAAUCCUGAAAUUGAGGUAGUAGGGGCUGGUCUCCAAACAUCUAGAUGAAUAAUUUCUAGAGGUUUGGUAUCAUAUACCUCUCUUCUAUUAAAAGCCAAUUUAUGCAUUUUAUUUAAGGAACAAACUUCACAACACAAUGUUUUAUUUAUCUUUGUAUUACAAAUUUGAUUUACAAUCCUACUAUUAGCAUGACACAAACGAUCAUGCCAUAUAUUUUUAUUACUUAGUGUAUUUAAUGAAGCACUAUAUGCUACUCCAUUCUUCUUCCUUCCAUAUUGUAAGUGAUAAAGUCCUCCAGAGUUAUUGCCAAUCAAAAUAGUCCUCUCUGUCUUCUGGUCCUUAAUAACACAACCAGAUGAAUUUAGAAUUAUAUCACAGCCCAUAUCCUUACUUAAGCUUUGAAUUGAAAUCAAAUUUUUUCUCAUUUCCGGUACACAUAAAGCAUUUUUUUUAAUUAAUAAACCAUUAUCAAUUUUUAAUUUAAUUGUUCCUAUAUGAGAAAUUUUUAAUUGUUUUCCAUUACUAAUAAUUAUAGAAAUCAUACCAUUUUAUUGUUGUGCAUCAUAGAAGUGAUUGAUUGACGGUGUCAUGUGAUGAGACGCUCCUGAAUCUAGGCACCACGUGUCAUCAACAACCUCAUUCAUAUCCAGAUUAGAUGAAGAAUCCACCAACGAUCCCGUAACAUAUGCAAAAUUUCCUCUUUCACUGCAUAAACGGGCAGAAUGCCCUGAUUUAUUACAAAUUUGACAAAUGAGUGAAGAAUUUACCAAUUGGGGUGGAGCUCCCCCAAACUGAGAUGAUGUAUACUGUCCACGACCACGAUCUCCAUAGCUUCCAUGAUUACUAUGGUUUCCAUAGCCUCUUCCACGAUUUCAACAAAAAUUAGAGCCACGAUUUCCACCAAAACCUCUUCCGUCUUUUCUGAAAAAUUUCUUAUUACUUUGGUAUUUUGGCCCUUGAUGUACUUCUACCGCAAAUGCCACGGCUUGUGAAGAAUUUGCAACAGAUGAUGUUGACACUUUCCUUCGACGAAUCCUGAUAUCUUCAGCAAUUAAUAGAUGAUAUAUAUCAUCAAAUUUCAUCCCUUUCUGAGCAUUUAUCGUUGUUCCAAAGGAAUUAAACUCAUCUGGCAACCCAUCUAAAAUAAAUCCCACUAUUUCACGAUCAGUUAUAUUUGAACCUGAUCCUAUGAGAUUGUCACACAUUGACCUGAUCUGCAAUAAAUAUUUUGGCAUUGGCGGGUUAUUCGUCCUUUUGAUUUCUCGAAGAUGAUCCCUAAUUGUUUUGGCGUACACCUCCAUCUGUGGAGACAAUUUUUCUUCUAAUUUUUUUCCAAACAACAGUUGCAAUUUCUUCAUUUGCCAGAAUUGGAUAGACAGCCGGUCCAAUUGAAGACUCGAUCCAUGAAAUCAAAAGCCAGUUCUUUCUUUGCCAUUUUGUAAAAUCUGGCGUCCCUAUUUUUGAAACUGCAGUAUUACUAUCGAUGAUGUCUUUAAGCCCAUAAAUUUGCAAAAGAUUCAUCAUCUGAGAUUUCCAGAACAGAUAGUUAUCACUGCUUUCCAACUGAUGCCUUAUGCAUCUUGAAGCGACUGACACAAUUUGAGCGUCUUAACCAACAAUAAUAUCUUCCAUCGCAAAAGUUCAACAACAACAAUCCAACAGUUCGAAAAAGAAACAAAAGAAACUUUUAAAAUAUUCUUAUUAAUUGAUUUCUUUAAUUUCUUUCCAAUCAAUGAAACUUCUUUCCAGCACUUCAAUUCAACGAGCAACACGUAAAUAAAAUCUGGACUUCAUACAGCAAUGGACUUGAUACAACAAUCUGCACGUAAGUGAUUUGCAGCACUUCGCGAUUCCAGCACUUCGCGUGCGAUUUGACAGCAAUGGACUCAAUCACGAUCAGCACAAUCACAAUCUGGGCAGUACGGCAGCAUAACGUGAUGUCAGCAUGAUCAAUGACUUGAUUUGCAGAAUCACAAUCACAAAUCUCGCGACGGCAGCACGAUCAGCGAGGGCGAUGUCCAAACGCGAAUGGAUCUGCAGACGCAAUUUCCAGACAUGCGAUCUGUGAAUGAUUUCCAGACACGGAUGCGAUUUCCAGCAGGAUUUGGAUGUGAUUUGGCUGCGUUCUGCGCAAAUUCGAAUCUGGGAAGAAAGAAGAAGAAAAACUAACCCAGCAAACGUAAUCCAGCAAACGCAAUCCAGCAGAAUAUGGGGAAAAAAAUCGAUCUGGGCUUGCGCUAUUCAGCAGCAGACGUUAUCCCUCUUUUCUUCAAUCAAUUUCUCCAGACGCAAUCCCUCUCCGGACUCUCUACAACUGAUACCAUCUAAGAGUCUAGAUCUAUUAAGCAUGUUAAUUCUCAAUGUAUUCAUUAUCAAAGAUAUUCUCUACUUAUAUACUACACUUAAACACUAAUAUUCAGUUAACUAAACUAUCACAACUAACAACAGAUUAAAACUAAUUUUUCUUUCAUUUUAUUCUUCUCAUAGCUGCUACCACCCCAAAGAAAGUGGUAAUGAAGCACAUUAGGUGUGUUCAACUUGACAAAGACAAUUACUACUCAUGUGUGAGGUCUAAUUUUCUGCAAUGUUGAGAGGGUUCAAACUCAUGGGGUACGUCGAGGGUAAGGUUGAGCUCGAUCACAUCGUCGGUGACAUGUCAACAGGAUCAGUUAAUUCUUACAGCAAUUACAGCACUGCACAUGUCUAAGGAAGCUCUGGCAUGGAUUCGCGGAUUACGCCGGAACAAUUUAAUCUCAACCUGGGCAAAGUUUACCGAGGACCUGAGCGAGCGAUUCGGGAGUUCCGCGUUCGAAGACAAGUUGGAAGAAUUGUCACGUUUACAAAAAACAGGCACGGUAGCGGCGUAUAUGGCACAAUUUGAGAGUUUAUUGAACGAUGUUGAGGGACAAUCGGAAGAAGCACUGAUCACAUUUUUCGUCGGAGGGCUGAAACCGGAAAUUAAAAAUCAAUUAAAAAUCGCGAGGCCGACGACGUUAAGGAAGGCGUUGGCGACAACAAAGGUUUACGAGGCAAACAAGGGGUCCAAGCCGUGGAAGAACUUUAUACCAAACAAUAAGUCAGAACCAUUACUUAAGAAUCCACCGGUGGGCGGACCAGCGGUUCCAAUUAUAAGACGGACGCUUACAAUUGAAGAAAGAAAGGAAAAAUCGGCCAAGGGCCUAUGUUUUAACUGUGACAAGAAUUAUUUUCCGGGCCACAGAUGCAAAGGGAAGAUGCUUAUGUUGAAUACAGAGAAGGAUUGCUUGGUGGAAGUGUUGGACAGGGAGGAAGGAACGGAAGCAACAUUGGGGGAGACGGGGGAGGACAUGGAAAUCAGUCUUCAUGCACUAUCGGAAUCGUAUAAUCCGCGAACUAUAAGAAUGACCGGUGCAAUUCGUGGCCAGAAGCUAACAAUGUUGAUCGACAGUGGGAGUACCCAUAAUUUCAUACAAAAGUCCGUCGCCCAUAAGCUGGGAGUAGCGCUGCAGGAGUUACCGGAAUUCCGGGUCUUCAUCGGCAGUGGCGACUACCUGAUAUGCCGGGAAGUUUGUCGUCAAGUCUUCGUAACAAUCCAGGAAGCAGUGAUUGUGCAAGAUCUUUUUGUACUAGUUAUGGAAGGGGCGAAUGUUGUUUUGGGGGUACAGUGGCUUCAAACUAUGGGAACUGUUAGAACAGAUUACAAAAAAUUAUCACUCGAAUUUGAGUGUGGGGAAAAAAUGAUAAAAUUACAAGGAGAUGGCCAGGUCACAGACGCAAUAGUGUCCAAUCGGGGACUCCGGCGAAUGGUAGCUCGCAAGGAGGUGGCUUAUUUUUGCCACUUAUCGGGUAACGUGGCAGACAAAACAGAAGCCGAUUUACCAGAAAUAGCUGAGGUGUUAAAAAAAUUUGAAACAACAUUUAGGGACCCAACGGAGUUACCACCAUCAAGGGAUACAGACCAUCAAAUCACAUUGAUCGCCGGGGCGCAACCGGUUAACGUGAACCCCUACAAAUAUCCACAUUUUCAAAAAAAUGAAAUAGAGAGGUUAACCCGCGAAAUGCUACAACAAGGAGUAAUACACCAGAGUAUCAGUCCAUUUUCAUCUCCGGUAUUGCUCGUAAGGAAGAAAGACGGCUCAUGGCGUUUUUGCGUCGAUUACCAGGCAUUAAACACGGUAACAGCGAAGGACAGGUUUCCUAUUCCCACGAUGGAUGAAUUAAUUGACGAGUUACAUGGAGCUCAGAUUUUCUCUAAACUCGACUUACGAGCGGGUUAUCACCAGAUUCGUGUACGAGAAGACGAUAUUCCAUUAACGGCAUUCAGAACCCACCAAGGACGUUACGAGUUCACUGUAAUGCCGUUUGGGUUAACAAACGCGCCGGCCACGUUCCAAGCAAUAAUGAACAGACUGUUUGCAGAGCACCUUAGGAAAUUCGUAGUCAUCUUCUUCGAUGACAUACUCAUUUACAGUCGAUCAACGGCCGAACACUUAACACAUUUGGAGAUGGUACUGAACAUUUUAAAUGCAAAUUCCCUAUUCGUAAGAAAAUCAAAAUGUUGCUUUGGAUUGACUGAAUUAGCAUAUUUGGGCCAUAUAAUCACAACUCGAGGAAUUCGACCCGACCCCGAGAAGGUGGCAGCCGUGGAAACAUGGCCAACGUCGGUAACCAUCAAGCAAGUGAGGGCAUUCUUGGGCUUAACAGGAUACUACCGGCGAUUCAUUAGCCGGUAUGCCCAGAUAGCGGCUCCGAUCAUAAACUUAUUACGGAAAAACAACUUCCGUUGGGAUUCAGAAGCAGAAAAAUCAUUUAAGGAAUUAAAACAGAUUUUAGUUACAGCUCCAGUGUUAAUCUACUCAAAUUUUAAAUUACCAUUCGUCCUGGAGACAGACGCUUGCGAGGUAGGAGUGGGAGCUGUAUUACUGCAGGAGGAACAUCAGUUGCAUAUUUCAGUAAGAAGCUAUCCGCGCUUCGACAACGGGCGUCUACAUAUGCGAAAGAAUUGUGGGCGAUUACGGAAUCAGUCAAGAGAUGGAGGCGCUACUUGCUUGGGGGAACUUUUACAAUUCAGACAGAUCACCAUUCAUUAAAGAACUUGUUAAAUCAGAUCAUACAAACCUCGGAACAGCAAUUUUUUUUGACAAAAUUGUUGGGUUAUUCAUACGAUAUCAUAUACCGACGAGGGAAAGACAAUAUAGCAGCCGACGCCUUGUCAAGACUGCCGGCGGAAAACUCGGAACUCUCAUCAGAAGAAAGUCAAUUAAAUACAUUGGGGUGCGAACCGAUAUCGGAGUGGGUACAAAAAGUGCAAGAAGAAAACGAAAAAGACGAAUGGAUCGGGGAAAUAAAAAAACAAAUGAACGAGCAAGGGGCGAAGUACAGGAAGGACUUUUAAUGUUCAAGCAACGUUAUUGCAUUGGUCCAACUUCGAAUUUCAGAGCCGAAAUUUUGGAAGAGCUGUACGGUACCAGACAGGGAGGCCACUCCGGGUACUUCCAGACAUUAUACCGAGUGCGGCAGCAGUUCUACUGGCCCGGCAUGACAUAAUAAGUAAAGAAGUUCGUUGCGGAGUGUCUCACGUGCCAACAAAUUAAGAUUCCUCCAGAGUAGCCGUUGAGUCUCCUACACCCCCUCAAUGUUUCGAUAGCUAUUUGGGAAGAAAUCAAUGUUGAUUUUAUCACCGGCCUGCCCCCAAUCCACGACCACUCAGUAAUCGUGGUUGUAGUGGAUCGUUUUUCAUAGUAUUGCCACGUUGGGAGCCUGCCAGAGGCCUACUCAGCCAAAUCAGUCGCCACCUUCUUUACAACAGACAUUGUACGCCUCCACGACAUUCCAAAAAAAAAAGUCUCCGACAGAGAUAAGGUCUUUCUGAGUAGAUUCUGGCAGGAGUUACUCAAGCAAAGCGGAACCUUUAUUCACAUGUCAUCAGCGUAUCAUCCUCAAAUGGACGGACAAACCGAAAUCGUAAAUAAAACAAUUGAAGGAUAUUUGAGAGCGACUGUACAGGACAAUCCUCGUAGUUGGAGGGAGCUGUUACCGUGGGCGGAGCUGUGGUAUGACACAACGUUUCAUCACAGCUUGGGUACGACGCCUUUUGAGAUCGUUUAUGGCCGACCACUACCAAGCUUAGCACCAUAUCGACCAGGAGAUUCCAGAGUCGAGGCGGUAGACCAGGAGUUGCGUCGACGCCAGCAAAUACUUAAAGAAUUAAAAACCCGAUUGAUAAGCGCACAGGACCGGAUGGAAAAAGGAAGAACUGGGAAUUUCAGGAAGGCGAUUUUGUCUGGUUAAAGUUAAAACCAUACCGACAAAAUUCGGUUGAGAAUCGGAGUUAUACAAAGCUGAGUAAAAGAUAUUAUGGGCCGUACAAAAUUAUAAAGAAAAUUAAAAGAUAUUAUGAAUCGUUUGGAACUACCGGCAACCAGUAGCAUAUUUCCGGUCUUUCACAUUUCUCUUCUUAAACCGUUCGUGGGAAACAGGGACGAUGGACAACAGUUGGCGUUGCCACCAAAAGCUUGGGACUCACAUCCGAUUAUAGUACCCACAAUAAUUUCAGGAUAUCGAAUUGUCAAGCGUAAAGGCAAGAGAGUAGAGCAAGUUUUAAUCGUCUAGAAGGGAUUACCAGAGCAGGAGUAAACUUGAAAAGAUCUAAAAUGGGUCGCAUAUUUGAACUCCAACUCGAACUUUGAGGACAAAGUUCGUCUGGCAGGGGAAGGUGAUGUAACAAUGCAAAUAGACCAAGUGGAGGCAGAACGCGUACUGGAGACAGAACUCGGUUGCGCAGCGGAGGAAACAGAACCCAUCAACCCACCGGAAGACUCCAGUCCCGGUCGACCCACAAGGAAUAAACAAUCAACUCGCCAAGCCGAUUACGAGUACACGUAAUCGAUCAUUAGAAAAUAGGCAGAGCAGUUAGAGAUCUGUUAUAAACAGAUAGUUGUUAAACCCAAUACGAAAUGUAUAUAAACUGAUCGUCAUUGCAAUAAUAAUCAUUGAAAAGUUUUGAGUAUAACUCCUUCGAAUACUUCCCCCUCAGGAUCCUUAGGGAUCAUUCGUCUUCUCCCUCCGGCCCUUCGGGGAACCGAUUCUCUGGCCAGACGGCCAAUACGGACGUUCCGAUUGACGAAUCCAGUUCCACAGGGGUUCGUCGUCACAGGUUCGAACUCAUGGGGUACGUCGAGAGUAAGGUUGAGCUCGAUCACAUCGUCGGCGACAUGUCAAUAGGAUCAGUUAAUUCUUAGUUGGAUUCUGACGGAUAUAAUGUCGUCUAUAUAUACUUUCUCAGGUCGUUUCUUACAAGACUUAAUUCGGCUACGAUUUGGUCAUAUAUAUAUCUAAAGAAGAUGUAUGCAUCGAGCACUCAAGCAAGACAGUUAAAUCUAAUAUUUCAAUUGCAGACGGUAAAGAAAGGAGGGCUGCCAAUGGGAGAGUUCAUCACAAAAGUAUCGGGUUUAAAAGAUUCUUUGAAAGGUACAUGUGAAUUGUUGAAGGAUGCAGAAGUGAUUUUAAUAACAUUGGGGACACUCGGUAAGGAAUAACAAACAUAAGAACUUUUGCAACCUUGUGUGAUAGCUUCUCAUGGAUUACAAAAUCAGAGUUCAAAAUUCAAGAAGUCCAACGACGGUUAACGUCGCAACCAGAUCUUAUGCCAAGGGCGGGGAGGAUAUGUUAGGUUAGGUGUCAAAUUGUUACAAUAUGUUAAACAUCAAGAAAUUUAAACCUACCAUAAUCAUGAACUUGUAGACGGACCAAAUGGAAGCAAUCGAACCUCACCGCAUACAACGAAUGUUGCCAGAAGCGGACCGAUGACGGUCUGGUUCCCGUAUAAUGGAGCUACGUCGCACAACACCGCUUUUACAGAUAACAUUCAGACACCAAAGUAAUUUAGAGGUAAUGAUUUUAUUUUAACAUAAUGAUUUCAAUUCUGUUAAAAUCUCUAAAAUAAAUGUCUCACAAGCUUCGUCUACUUUUUCAUGACCAGAAUUCAAAAGAUCGUAAAAUAUUUAGACUAUGUUACGAUUCCAUUUAAUACAAAAGAGGUAAACCAACAACUGGAGAAGGAUUUAAUAGAUGACGGGGAUGAAGAAGACUCGGAGGAAGAAGCAUCCAGCAACACGGCGGGACGAGGCAAGCGUAACAUAAUUAAGAAGCAUGACUCAAGAUUUGUUUACUACCAGCUAUAACUAAUCUGUUAGUUGUUGUAAUACAGAAUGGUAUAAAUAAAUGAAUAGGAUGACUGGAUAAGCAUUCAGUAAAUUGAACACAUUUAAUCUUCUUCCCCUCGGCUCCACUUAGAGAUCUCUUCCCUCUCUUCCUCCGGCCCCUCGUGGGAAUCUCUGCUUUCCUUCCUACUUGGAUCGAUUCGAUCCCUUCUCUAGGACGCACCACGAGCUCACCGUUCGUCAGGAACCAGGUCGUUUCAGACUACAACAUUUGGUUCUUCAUCAUGCAAAAUCAAAUGACCUAUUUUCAUCGUAGACUAUGUCAACAAAUAGAUUAGUAUUCUUGACCAUUUCAACAUAUUUCAAUUCGUGUAGUUGUUAAAUUUCAAGACGUGGUUAAUUUCUUCUUUGGUUCACCAUAUUUAUUCCAAUUCGUGUAGCCACUCAUGAAAUAACCGAAUCUUUAAAAAUGAACUCACAUUGUAUCUUAAUCUUCCUUACUCAAGAAACAACAUUUAUAUUGACCACAAAGAUAUUUAAUUUGUCUUCUUUCACCAAUUGUUGAACAUCCACGUGUCAUCCACGUGGAGUCAAAAAAUCAUUAACGAGAUUAACAAAUGUUAGUAGUUGUUAAGUCUAAUAAGUUGUUAUGUUAGUUAGUAUAGUUGUUAUUAGUUAUUUAGUCAUGUAUAAGUAUGGAUGGUUAGUGAGUAACAUGGUAAUUUGAUUUUAGAUAUCGAUUCUAAAGUUCCUAUAUGGCAUCAGAUGAUAUAUAUCAUCGAUUUGAUGGUUGUUCAGCCACUUUCCGUUGCUAAUCUUGGUCACACUUCGACCAAUGGGGGGGGGGGGGUUCUAACCUUCGACAAUGAAGGUAGUCAAGAAAUCAAUUAGAUGCAUUCUUUGUCAAACACUAUGUUAGAGUGUAUGUGUAAUUGUUACUUUAGUGAUGUUAAUUAGCUAAUUAAUAUCUUGAUCUUAAGCCAAGAUUGAUUAGUUAGUAUUUGAUUACUAUAAGUACUUUAGUCAUUAAAACUGUAUGAUUACUUUUUUGGUUAAUACAAUUUGCUUGAUCAUUUGAUUGCUCAAUUACUUCGUACUCGAGUCUAGUCAAGUUUAGACAUUCUCCUCGACAAAAGAAAUUACUUCUUCUGGGAGGAGCAAUUUUCUACCAUGCUGCGCAGGUUUCGACUUAUGAGUUACGUUGAGAGAAAAUCGAGCUUUCGUCCCCAAGAUCAGCUAAUCUUAAGUUGAAUCUUGACAGGAAUAUCCACCACUAUUCUGUUGCAGGUUGCAUCUUAUAGAACAUCCACCGACAUUUGGGAUUGUCUAUGUCGUCUCUUCGCUCUAGGAACACAAACUCAGAUUCUUCACAUCCAGUUACAGCUUCAGACAGUGAGAAAAGAUGGAAUGACAAAGGAUGAAUAUAUCUCUAAAAUCUCAAUAUUGAAGGACGCCUUGGCGGCCACUGAGAGAAAAUGAAAGAAACCGAAAUAAUACUAAUUACUCUUGACGGAUUAGGGAAAGACUAUGAUUCUUUUCACUUUGAUUACAACAAGAACGGACCCUAAUUUGAUAUUUUUUGAAUCGUCUAAGGUCUUGUUAGAUCAAGAAAUGAGAAUGGAAAAGAAGAGGUCCUUUAGCUUUCCAGUCAUGAACAUUGUAACAAUAUCGACGACCGGCAUAUCGUAGAUCAAGUGUUAAAUUUGUUCACGUAGGGGUCAUAGUAUGGCGUAUUGUUACAAUCGCUUGAAUCUCAUAUGUACACUUUUUGGCAUCUCACGGACGAACACUAUCAUCAUCAGGUCCUAAUGGGAGCAAUCAGGAAAAAGGAUCGGCUGAUGUGAUGACUUCUUCAUCAGGCAAAGCGACAGUGUGGUACCUCGAUUCUGGGGCCACAUCCCACAUCACCGCCACACCUGAAAAUAUACAACUACCUCGUUCUUUUACCGAUAAUAAUUUCAUCUAUACCGCUGAUGGGAGUCCAAUACAAAUUACUCGGUCAAGUCGCAGUAUGACUCAAUCGAAAGAUCAAUCAUUUAUACUUCAAGAUUUACUUCUUGUGCCAUCGACAACAAGAAAUCUUUUAUCUGUUAAUUGCUUUUGUAUUGAUAACAAUGUUUCUCUUCACUUUGAUUCGCAGAAGGUACAGGUACAUGAUACGACUACUGAGGAAGUCUUGCUGGAAGGAAGGACUAAUGGGGGUUGGUUGUAUGAACUACCGUUAAAGAUUGGAAAAACUGAGACUGUUAAUAUUUGUGAAAAAUUACCACACCAUCUCUGCUAUUCACGUCUUAGGCAUCUUAAUUCUUCAUAUAUGUCAACUCUUAUUAAAAAUGGUGUAAUAAAUUCAAAUAUUAAAACUUUCGAUUUAUGUGAUUCGUGUCAAGUCGGACUCAUACUCUUCCCCACCUUACUCGCAAGUCUUCCUACAGGCCACUUGCCCUGAUAUUUUCUGAUAUUUGGAGACCAGCCCAUGUCAACUCAAUUGAAGGUUACGUGUAUUAUAUCAAUUUUGUAAAUGCCAAUAGCAAUUUCAAUUGGGUAUAUCCGAUCACUCGCAAGAGCGACAUAUAUCAGAAUUUUGAAAAGUUUAAAGUUUUGAUCGAAAGACAAUGCGGAACGAAGAUACUAGCAAUUGAAACAGAUAAUGCCAAUUAGGAAUAUCAAAAACUCGGAAAACACUUGGCUGAACUUGGUAUUUCUCAAAGGAUGGUUGCUCUAUACUCACAUCAACAAAUGGGGGUUGGUUGAAUGGAGACACAGACACCUGGUGGAUACCACGAUUGCUCUACUUCAACACACACAUCUUCCUAAAAUUUUCUGGAGUUACAGAGUCUUAACUGCUUGUUAUUUAUAUACCAGAAAUACGACUCUCCUACUAGUCGGAAAAUCACCUCUAGAAGUAUUAUUUAAGAGGUCGCCGGAGUACAGAAAACUAAGGGCGCAUCUUCUUGGGAUACUCUAUGUCACAAGAAUGUUAUCUUUGCUAUGAACCGUGAAUCGAAGAAUUUUCGCGUCAAGAGAUGUUUUCAAUGAGUAAGAUUUUUCGUUGAAUAAAGCAUUCUUUAGGGACCAAGGCGAAAAAGAUGGUUAAACUUUAGCGACCAAUUUGGAGAUAGUAGUAUCAACGGAUCUUGCCAUUUAACUAAGUCAAAAUUAAUCACAAUAGAGGCGGUACAAGUUAUAACCAAAUCAACAACAUCAGGUGAUAUUAUUGAACCAACUAAUAGUCCGAUUGAGACAUCCCCGAAUCCGAAUACAUUUAGGGAUGGACAUUGGUUGAGUAUGACUCUACUGAACCAAUCGACCAGAUCAAUCUUUGGAUGAAUAUUCAUUAGGUUUGAGUAAGUUUGUAAAUGGUAUUACGGAAUCCGUAUUUGAAUCCGCAUUCAAAUUCGAAUAUGACUAUCCGGAUUCGGAUACAUGAAUUGAAAUUCGAAUUUUAUUCGGUCGGAUUUGGAUAUCCGGAAAAUCCGAAUUCGUUUAAAAAUUUCGGAUUCGGAUAUCCGGAUAAAUAUAUAAUAAAUUAAUAUUAUUAUAUUAUAUAUUUAUAUUAUAAAUCAUUAAACACUUAAAUCUCAAACCUAAUUACCUAAGUUAUAAUUAUAAAUUUUUAUAACUUAUUAAUUUAUAAUUAUUAAAUCCUAACUCUAACACUAACACUAAUCCUAAAGUUAUCCGGAUUUUAUUCGGUCGGAUUCGGAUAUCCGGAUAUAUGCAUAUCCGAUCCGAAUUCGACUGAUAUACAGAAUUAGGUUUGAGUUUUAUUUUUAUGGGUUUAUUUGUAAUUGUAAAAAUAUUUAUGGAUUUAUUUAUUUUCAAGGUCUUAUUUAUAAUUUAAAAUAUAUUUUAGUAUUUUUUUGAAAAAACCCUUCAACUUUCGAUAUUCAUUGGAUCAAAAUAAAUACUUUAAUAUCCGAAUUAACCCAUACGGGGAUUUUUGCUCGGGUUUAGGUUCAUGCAAAAAAUUAUGCCCAUAUCUAAUCAGAUCACUUCGCUUCGGGUAUCACCCGUCGGUAUAUACAACCGGUCAGUCAACUGCGUUGUUAUAUUUCUAAGAGAAGUUUCGCUGCAGUUUGGGGGAAAUGACGACGGUUACGGUGAAAGGGGAAGAAGAAGGAGAGGAAAAACCUCAAUUCUCAUCGACAACCAGUAAGUUUUCCUCACAUUAUCUUCAUAAAAUUGAUGAUCGACUUCGAUCUCUUUCUCUUUCCCUACAAGAUUUUGCAAAUACAAGCGCGCGCUAUAUUGAAAUUGUAUGGAAAUAUUGUUUCAUUGCAACAGAUUGAUUUAGUAACGAAAUGAAUACUUUUCCUACUCGUGUGCUAACUGAACGAGUAGAAUUCCAUUCGCAAAUAUAUUAAAGAAUUUAAAGUAAACAUGAGUUGCCCUGAAUUUGUACACUAUUUUAGUCGUAUUUUUAUUCUUAAAAUCACUCGAUUAUUCUUAAAUAAUAUUCUUGGUGUAGAAAACUAUAUUUAUGCUCAUUAACAAGUCAUUUUAGUGGGCACUUUAAGUAGAAUUCACUUACAUCACAUUCUUAUAUUUUUUUUUUUGAAAGCAAUUGACAUUCUUAUACUUGUCAAGAUAUAUUCUUAGUUCUUACUAAACAAAGCUAAUUACUGCAGACAUUUGAAUUUUUAUGCCAUUAUAUAUUUAUAUCGCAUUUGAUUGAUUUAAGGCAUUAAAUCUAACAGAGGAAACACAACAUAGACAUUAAUUUUAAUGUCACCUAAGCUCUUCCUUCGUAGAGGAAAUUUAUCCAUGGCCCCUUGCCUAUGUUGUGUUUUCUUUAUUAAAAUUGACCGAUUAACUCAAAAGGAAGAGCUUAAGUAACAUUGUAACAUUAAGAGUUUAUAUGAAGUCAUAAGUUUUAUUCCCAACGAGUACCUAUGCAUUUUGAAUUUCUUUGAUAAAAUUUAGAUAUGUGUGUCACAAAGAGGUUUAUUCUUUUUGCCGGUAUCACAAUUUAAUUUAAUCACACUUUCGGUUUAAAUUAAGAUUUCUUUUAUGUUUUUUUGCAGCAAUGGUUAUGAAAUUAAAUGAUUGAUUGUGUUCGGCGGUUCACUAUUUUUUUUCCUGAAAAUUCGAUAUGUCUACUAAGAUUUUCCCCCUAAAUUUUAUUAAAAAAUAAAAACCAUUAAUAGUGAUUUAGAGAACAAUCUAUUUACCUUUUACCAAAAAAAUAUUUACAGAACUAUAGUUCCUCACUUAUUCAUUUCCUUUUAAGUGUGAUUCCGUAUGGUCCUAUACUCACAUCAAUGUAUAAAUGAACACACAGAAAAUAUUCAGUGUAGUGAUGCCUCUCCAAUAUUUUGUGAGCCUUCAUACUAUCCACAGUUUUGUGAAAUGGCUGGUUAUUUCAUAACUCAUUAGUACAUUACCCAACGAUAUGGUAAAUGAUUAAAAGGCCUCAAAUAACUAGUUAAAUUAAUAUCUUAUCUUUUCAUAGAAGUCUAUGUCAUUUUGUUGGUUAAUACUAAACCAUAACUUUAUUAACAAUUUUGUAUGCAGUUACAAUUUCUUCUUUGACGCUCAAUAUAAAUCAUCAUGUACUGUUUAUGAUUUUAAGUUAAUAUUUAUAUAUUUUACAUUUAUAUGCUUCAGGGACCAAUAUUUUUAAUGACAAUAUCUUGUCAAUCCCAAUUCAUGUUGUUAAUCACGCAUCUCAACUUCCUCGUGAAUUUGUGGAACCCUCAUCUGAAAGGAAGCUGGUGAUUGGUUUUGACUGUGAGGGAGUUGAUCUUUGCAGAAGUGGAACUCUCUGCAUCAUGCAGGUAUUAUUAGUCUAAUUUUAAAUUUUUCAUAGAAUAUCAUGCAGGAAUAUUUACUAAUUAGCCCAUAGAAUAUUAUUAAUUCUAGCAUAUCACUAAUAGUUUAUUAGUUAGAAUCAUUAUUUUUAUAUGCUUUAUUUUAUUGUCAUGGAUUUGGUAGUGGAAUAGUGGGGAUUGGUUAUUGUUGAGGUGGUUUUUCGAGAGUAGUUGCUCGACAACUUGAAGUUCAGGGUCGAUAAUUUCUAGGAUUAGAAUCGCGCUAUUCCCGUUCUUUUCCUACUGCUCUGACGUUUUUUGUCAGAAUGUGGACCCUCUAAAUGAGGGACCCUGGUCCUAUUAAAGGAUUUCAUGGGGAUAAAUCUUGUAAUAAUGAGAACCGGGCGGUUAGUAAUCGUCGACUGAUUUCUCUAUCGACGAGUUCAUUCUAUAGUCGAUCACUAGUUGGCGCCUAGACUCGACGAGGGUUGUACCUCGACGACUCUGUCUUUUGGGCGUGCCUGGGACGAGAACCUGAUGUCACCACUGGAGAUGGUGAUAGGGAUAUGAAGAAGUUCAGAUCUAUAGGCUGGGGAAUACUGUGAUGGAACCAUAGUUUUAAAUAACAAAAAGCGCUCCCAAUUUCCAGGGAGCGCUUUUUUUAGCUUUGAGCGCUUUAGCACGCUUAAAGCUAAAAAAGCGAUAGUGGCAAUUUUGUAAAUAUAUACAAUUUUUUUAAAAAAAUCUAUAUAUACCCCUGUAUAUAAUUUUUUAUAUACAAGAUUCUUAUUCUCUUUACUUGUAAGUUACAGCCCCUGUAUGGCUGUAUACAGGCUGUAAUUUUUUAUAUACCCCUGUAUAUAAUUUACAGGCUUUAAGUUACAGCCUGUAACCCAUGAGAUUCUUAUUCUUUCUUGUACAGGUUGUAAGUUGUAACCCUUGUAAGCCUGUAACCCCUGUACCUGUAUAUCUUUACUUGUACGUACAUACGUACGUGUAAAGAAUAAAGAUGUAUGUUGCUGUCCUGCUGCGGUUCUCCACUUCAAUUACUACUAUUAUUAUUCUCUCCCCCCUCUUUUCUUAUUAGUGAUAUGAUACAUAUAUAUGAUAUGGUACAUAUAUAUGAUAUGGUACAUAUAUAUGAUAUGGUAUGUAUGAUAUGAUACGAUACUACUUAGUGGUAUGAUAUAUGUUACUGUAGUAUUAAGUUGUAUAUAUAUGAUACUCAUUGUGAAUGAAAAGGGAUCGAGUAUCUCUCCCACUUAUUUACAUCUCUUAUAUGGUAUCAGUUUGUUAGAAAGAGAGCUUCCUCGAUCCUGGAUUUUCUCCUCAACAGUCCUUCAUUUUCUUGAAUUCCGCUGCAAUGGAGGACGGCAUUGUUGAUAGGAGUGGAGUCGCAAAUUCAGAUGCUUCCAAGAUAGUUUUCAUCAAGCAUCUGAAGACUGUGACGCUGGACCGCUCAAACUACUUUGCUUGGCGCACACAAUUCGUCGUCAUCUUGCGAGGACAUGAGCUGCUGGAUUUGAUCCAAGGAUGGCUAAUUAUAUGUAUCAUAUCACUAAUUUUUUCAGAUUCAAGCUCUAGAGAUGAGUUCUCAAUUUCAAAAUCAGUAAAAUUAACUGAUUAUGAGAGGCGACCCUUCACUAGAGGAGCUGCAGGGAUUAAGAAGCCUAAUCCUAGGUAUGCACUGUCUAUAUUAGCUUCUGAAAUUUCAGUUUCAUCUUCAGUCAAGCAAGCUUUGGAGAAUGAAGGAUGGAAAUCAGCUAUGAAGAAAGAAUAUGAUGCGCUCGUUAAUAAUGGUACAUGGGAGUUGGUACCAAGGAUGCUAACAGACAAUGUGAUUAAUUCUAUAUGGCUGCUUAAAGUCAAAGAAAAAUCAGAUGGCAGUGUGGACAGUUUGAAGGCAAGGCUAGUGGCAAAUGGGAGUGAUCAGAUUGAAGGCAGAGAUUACAAUGAGACAUUCAGUCCAGUUGUAAAAUCUGUAUCUAUUUGUGCAGUAUUAACUAUUGCAGUCUCAAGAGGUUGGAAACUUAAUCAAAUUGACAUAGGUAAUGCAUUUUUACAUGGUCAAUUGGAAGAGAGGAUUUUAAUGCGUCAACCUAGAGGCUUUAUGGAUGAACCAUGUCCAAAUCACGUCUGCCUAUUUAAGAAAGCUAUCUAUGGUCUCAAACAAUCUUCAAGGAUGUAGUUUCACAGACUAAAAAUGGUGUUGAAUUUAAUGGGUUUUAUACCAAGCCAAUCUGAUCCUUCAUUGUUUGUGCACUUAGGUGAAUAUAUGAUGUAGAAUAUCAUACAUGGGCUCCUGGCCCAUCUCCAUUAUAGAAGGCCCAUUAUUGAAAGAGAAUAUAAAUAGAGGCAAGCCUGGAAGGAUCGACAGUUUUUGAUUCAAUGGCAUUGUUAAGGUUUUAACCUUUUAUUCUUCCUCUCUAACCUUUGAUUCAAUGGCAUUGUGCAACACAUACCGAAUGUUCUACAACAAGCAGAUAUUCUCACUAAAGCAUUGAAGCCCAAACUCUUCAAAGAUCUCAAGGACAAGCUGAUUUGUUCACAUCAUCAGACUUGAGGGGGGAGUAUUAGUGAUAUGAUACAUAUAUAUCAUAUCAUAUCAUAUCAUAUCAUAUCGUAUCAUAUAUAUGUAUGAUAUGAUAUCAUAUCUAUAUAUGAUACGAUACGAUGCUACUUAGUGAUAUGAUAUAUGUUAUUGUAAUAUUAAGUUGUAUAUAUAUGAUACUCAUUGUGAAUGAAAAGGGAUCGAGUAUCUCUCCCACUUAUUUACAUCUCUUAUAUCUCUCUCUCUAUCCAUCCAUCUAACUUUAGUUCUCCAUCUCCAGAUCUUUGAAUCUUUUCACGACCACGACCACCACCGAAUUGGGUCUGUCACUGCCUCUUGAGAUGUUAAAGUCUGUUGGGUUUCUAUGACAGAUGGGGAAGAUAGACGAUGGUGGAGGUUUCUACGACAGAUUUCUUUGAAUCUGGAGAUUUCAGUGGCUAAUUACGUCAUGACCUGACCCACUUACCCACCUAAAAAAAGCGAUUCGGAAAGCGCUGCUGGGGGAGCGUUUUUCCGCUUUAAAAACUAUGGUAAUAAGUGCUUUCCAUCUUACUGUAUCAAAUGUCUUCCUUAGGUCAGUGCUUAUUAUACACAAUCUCUUUUUUUUUUUUUUUUUUUGAUGUCAUUCAAAACCUCCUUAAGAACAGUUUCUGAUGGUCUGAGAGAAUGUUGCUGCCAUCUUCUGUUUUUUUCAGCCAAUAUGUGUCAACACAAGGCUCCAAUCAUAUUCCAUAAUAGGCCCCAAAUUUGAGAGUGAUGUGUUAGCUUUUGAAAUGCCUCAAUUAGGUCUCUUAUUUUGAUGUUUGGGUAUGUGGUGGUGGGUGUCGGGAUGUUCAUGAUUUUUCAGAUAAUAUUGUUUAAUUUUUCAACUAGGGGUAGAAAGAUGGAUCUAGAGUAGUUGCAGUCAAGGUUCCGGGUGCGCGCGCAUAUGCGCAGGUGUGACCCUACUGGGAGAUGCGCCCGACGCAUCUCCCUUAGCGAUACAGGCAUUUUUUAAGUUAUUUAAAUAACUUAAAACAAUGUUUUGUUUUUAUUAAAAAAAAAGGCUAAUUUAUUUAUUUAUUUAUUUUAAGACCUUAUAAAUUUUUAUGCCAAAAAUUUAUACAUUGGUCUAUGAAAAGAGCUAUAUUAUUUUUAAUAUAAGCUCCUCCCACUCUUAAGACUUCAUAUUUAUUUUAGACAAAAUGAAUCUUUAUUUAUAGACCAACCUUCUUUGUGUUUUUUGAAUUCUAUCGAUGUGGGACUAAAAAAGUGUAGUUAAAUAAAUUAUUAUUAUAGAGUAUUUUUGAUGUUAUAAAUGUAUUAAAAAAGGCCCAGCCCAUUACGUUAUUAUAUUUUUAAAGCCUCUUGGGUUAUUUAUUAUUUUCAUUUUAUAAAAGUCUCUCUUUUAUAAGUUUAAAGAAACCCUAGCCAUUUAAAGAGCUAUAUUAUUCAAGGUUCCGGAUGCGCCUCUGCGCGAUGCGCCGCCACCUGGAGCAUAGUUAUCAAUUAUCAAAAUACUUGAAGUCUUUAAAUAGUUUGAAACACAUAGAAUAGUUCACUUUAACUCUUGAAUUUCAAAUACAUAAUAGGAUCAAAUACAUCUAUAGUUCAUCCGUUGACCUCCUCAGCCGUUUAUAGAACAGAUGAUCGGGAUCUGUAGGACCAGCUUCAGCUUGGGGUACACCCUCAUCUUCAUUCUCUUGAAGAUCUUCGACUUCAUAGUCGUUAUGACGAACUUGACUAGUAAAUGGUCUAGAUUGACCACUCCUAGUCGAUGGACCUGGGUGCUCAGUUGCUCCAGCUGCCGUCUUCACGUCGGCCCAAGUGAGACCUUCUUCAGUAUACACCCACUCAUUGCAUGGUCCAUCAAUACCAGUGACCCAUUCACUCAUCAAGUUGAACUCGUUAACGUGAAUAGCAUCAUACUUUUUGGAGCCGCUUUCAAUCAAUAACUUCUUUGUUUUGAACCUCUCUGUCAACUUCAUAUUGUAGUUGAUGUAAACGAGGUUAUCUAACCGGGCAACGCCCAAGCGAUUCCUUAACUUGGUAUGGAACUGUAAAUGAGAUUUCAUAUUAGAUAGUUAAAUCAUAUGAAAUAAAUAAUCGAACAUGUAAAGAACUUACAUGUGCGAAAGUACUCCAAUUCCUUUCACAGCUUGAAGCUGAGCAACACAGACUUAAGAUUCUUGUCGCAAUUUGCGUUAACUCCACUGUUCUGGUCCCAAAUAAUUCCCACCAUCGUAGUGGAUGCAUAGUAUCAGCCAUCUUCAUCGCUACAUUUCCUCCAAACUUUCCUUCUCUAUUGUUGUACAAGGUCAUGUCAGAAAAUAUUGCGAUCGUUUUUGAAUCGUCGUUACCAACCAUUUUUUCAACACAUUGAGUGAAUGCGUCCUCAUACUCCAUGGAUUGAGCAAUUGUUGCAGGAUCACUGUAGUUGGAAAAAAUAGAUUUAAUCAUCAAAUCUUAAAUUCAUUCAUGAAGUAGAAAAGUUGAAUUGAAUAAUACCUUUUCAACUUGUAGAAGAAAUGUGGAUUUAGGUAAAAUGCAGCCCUUAUUAGAGGAGAUUUGUAAUGCUUUCCCCACCGUUUGUCCAUAAGAGUAUGGAUCGGAAGAUACAAACUCGAAUCCCCUUCAAAGUUGUUCUUUAUAGCUUUUUUUGCCUCUAAGAAGGCUCCUUCGAGGUAAGCUAACAGGUUGUGUAACCUUGCCUUGCUGUUUUUCAGCGAAUGCGGCAUACUUCCAAGUCGGAUCGUCCCAAUUAGAAGGUCGGUUGCUUUUCAAAUCCAAAUACAAAUUUUCGUCAAUCGUCGGGUCAUAGAUACUAAUAUCUAUCUCUUCCGGCGGAUUUGUAGUUGAAUUAAUUUGCACUUCAUCUUCUACUCCCAUAUCAUUGUCAUUAGGUACAUAAUCUUCAUCAUGAAUAUCAUAACUAUCAUCCAUUAUGAAAACUUGAAAACCCUAAGAAAAUAACAAAUUAAUUAAAAAUACCAUAGAUUUCUUAAUCUAGAAUUCUACAUUAUGAAAGAUUUUAAAAAACAAUGUGAGAUUUUAAAAAAAAAAUCACUGUUUUUUAUUUUUUUACCUUUUUUUGACUUUUUUUUUCCCUCCAAAUUUCUUCGCCGGAAUCUCGCCGGAGCUUCGCCUGAGGAACGCCAAAAAAAUCGGGAGGAGAUCUGGCCGGAGUUGGGAGGAAUGGGGAAGACAAGGAUAAACCCUAGAGAGGGGUUUGCGUUUUCAUUUCUAAUAAAAUCUAAAAACAGUAAAUGUUGUUACUGUUUUAAGUUAUUAAAUGUAAUUGGGAAAAUUGCAAUUUUUCCCAAUUACUGUUUUAAAUCUUUAAAACAGAUUAUAAUUAUUUUAAAAAGCCGGAUCCGGGUAGGAUCCGACCCGGAUCCGGCUAAGGGAGAUGCGCCGGGCGCAUCUCCCUUCCGGGUCGCCCUUCAUGCGCGCAUAUGCGCGCGCACCCGGAACCUUGGUUGUCGCCCUUUGGAGACAUCUACAAUGGAAGUAUGGGAGACCAACUCAUGAGGCAGCGUGUCUAGUUAUAUAGUUACUAUAUAACUAGACUACAUAGCUAAUGGAAGAGAGUCAAUGGGUUUUUUGCUCAUUUCUUUUUACUUCUAUUUAUAUUUCUAAUUUCUCUAUGUAUGGGCGUUUCCCUUCAUUUUCUAUGAACAAAUUUAAUUGCUUUUAAAAAAGAUGGUAUAAUCUGCGAAAAUGGCCCAAUCUGAGUUGGUGCAUUUUGAGACUUAGUUUUCUGUUGAGAUUUAAGAGAGACUAAUUUUCCAAUCAAUGUAAGCUUAACCAUGAUAAACUCACCAAAAUCAUAUAUCAAUGGUAGAAAAAAAUAAAGAAUUAUGGAUAUCAUUCAUUGGAGAUGGGUUUCUUUCUCUCAUCACUUUAGAAAUUAGAAUGUUUUUUCUAUUGCUAAAUUUAAAACUAGCUUAUGUCAUUUAAUUUGGUUAUUUUGUUCAAAUCGCUAUAAUCUUGUGAUGGCCAUUUGACUUUGAGGAUGGUAUUUCAGUUAUGCUGUGAUCUCAGGCGCUUCUCUAGCUGACAAGAUCUGUUACAAUCCUGUAAAUCUACUCUUAGUCUUCUACAAGAUAUGAUGUUUUGCACUCCAUAGUCGUUAUAUAUUAGAAUGAAUAACCAUGAUUUUAUACCAAGAGAUCAAAUAUCCUGCUCGUUCCAUCUCUACAUAUAUGAUUCUAUUUUCAUUCAAUUGAGUGCAGUGAUGUUCUAAUUUUAUUCACUUUUUUUUAUACAUAAAAAUCAUUAUUUAUCUUCUCCCACUAACAGCCACCUCCAUGCCUACCAAAUUUAUCAUCAUCUGAUAAUGUAGAUAUUUUGAAAUCACUGAGACUGGGAAAAUAUUCAAAGGUAAAGAGUUUUUCUUAAACAGAAACUGACAUUUUUUAUGGAUAAUUGGAUAUAGUCCGACCUGUUGAUCUCUCUGUGUAUAUUGUUCCCAUUCUAGUGGUUUAAUGAUGUACAAUGUUCCGAUAUCUCUAGAAAGUGUGAUGUUGCUCUGGAUUUGCUUUCAACAGCACAUGGAUGUCAAGUAAUCUCUGGCAUCUUUAAUUUCAAUAAAUUAAUAUACUGUAUUGCAUGCACACAUAUUGAUGACUUUCUUCUUUUGAUUUCAUUUUAAAAUAGUGAUACUUUUGUUUCUCUUGUAUUUUUUUGUCAAGAUUGAAGAAAUUAUAUUGCCUGAGCUGAAGGAGGUGUCAACAGCACAUGUGGUUUCUGUUGCAUGUGAAUAUGCUUGUAAUUUAAAUCCUGAAUGCAAUGGAGGGUACAAUUUUUAAUUUUUAUAAAGUAAAUUUUUUACUUUUAUAAAUAUGCCACAGUGAUUGCUGAACUAUUAUUUGUUAUCUGUUCAACCUUCCCUCCCGUCAUAUGACUGACCUUUUAAUUUGUUUCAAUAUCAUGAUUUGUUUCUUUUGUUCUAAUUUCAGGGAAUUUGCUGAAUUUACACUUGACACUCGUGCAUCUCUGGAAUUAUUUAAAUCAUUCACUGGAGCAGAGUAUGUUGCUGCACAACGUCUAAGGUAUGUGGAGCAUCUCACCUUACACACUUCUAGAAUUACAUUUUAUCCCCUUUUUGUUCAUAAGUUGAAUUCCAUGAACUGUCGUAGACUCACAGUAUUCAUUUUGACAUUCAUAUUAUGGAUUAGUUAAUUUGAUUCAUUGUAAUGCAGGAGAAGAAUAAUGUACUACCAUAUGGAAGCUUUCAAAAAAGUUGAUAUCAUAGUGACCCCUACAACUGGGUAUGGCAUGCUCAUUCUGUUUAGCAUGUUGUAACCGCAUUUUAAUGUUGGUUUAUUUUUUCUUGUGUAUUUUUACAAAGGCAAACAAAUUUUUUUUUUUUUUUGAAGCAAUUAAAAUUUAAAUGUAUAGUUUCUUGCAAGAUCAUGAAAUAAAUCCUAAGUUGAAAAAUAUGCAAAUUCUGCUAAAUCGCAGGGACAAACCUAGUAGGAUUGCAAUUGUCUUUCUGUGGCCACCGAUAUGAAGUUUUAUUUUACCAGGAGUAUAUAUUAUUAAUUUCUUUUUUCUUUACCUUAUUGUCAUUUGAUGCUUAAACCUUUACCAAUGCUUAUGUGUGGUUUAAUUGUAUUUUUUUCAAAACAUUUGCUGUGCUUCAUCCUUUCUGUGAAAUAUAAUGAACCUUGCAUCUAUACAUCAUAUUCAUGUGUGACAAUAUGAAGAGUUUUCUAAUAUAAUAUUUUUGAUAUGACAGUAUUACUGCACCUAUAAUACCACCAAGCUCUCUGAUUUCUGGAGAGAGUAAUUACGUGGUGUCAGGUUAGUUUUGCUUAAUUCUUCCAUUAUUUUAAAAAAUAUGCUAUACUCAACAUUGUACACUGUAUAUGGUAAGGUAGUAUAUGUACAUAUGAAUGGAUUCUGAUCAAAAAAACAUUUAUCAAAAAAUGAAAUAAUUAGCAAACUUGCUCGGUUUUUUCUUUUGUGUAGUUAUUGUGAAAAAGGAAUUAUUGUUAUCUCACUUAUUACUCCACCUGUAUUAUCUUAACAUAUUAUUGGAAGAAUAUAAUUUAGUUGAUUUGUUCGUAAGCCAUUCUUAUUCUGAAUUUCGUUCUUUUGUUCAGCUUAUCUCAUGAAAUUCGUAUUAUCAGCUAACCUUCUUGGACUCCCAGCUGUGUCUGUGCAUGUAAGUUUUUUUUGGCUUUCAAACUUUUAGUGAAAGGUAGUUUUUGACAAUUAUACGUUAAAAAGAUGACAUAAUUAAGCUCAAGUUAUUUGACAGGUUGGUCAUGACAAAGAUGGACUUCCAAUAGGUAUACAGUUGAUUGGUAGGCCAUGGGGAGAGGCUAACCUUCUCAGGGUGGCAUAUGCUAUUGAGGUUUGCUUGGUUAUAUGAAAACCAACUACUAAUUAUUAUUGAUGUUUAAUUUAUAAGGUUGAAGAUAGAUACAGUUUUAAAGAAAUAAGAUUAAUUUAUAAGAGAAACUGUAAAAUAUAGAGACAGUACAUGCAUGAAUAAUGUUUAUCAUAGUUACUAUUUGCUUAUUUCUGUGUUUGGUCUUUCAGGAGCUUUGUUUAUCUUCAAGGAAAAAGCCUUCUAUCUUUUAUGAUGUUAUGCAUGAAGUCUGAAUCCCCAAGUUUUAAGGUGCAAUCUGUUGCAAAAUGAUAAAUGUCUGCGGGAUAUAGGACAACACAUAUCAUACAGUUCUCAUGCGGAGAUUUAUUUAUUGGCUGUUUUGAAUAAAUAUUUUUUUUAAAGCAGAACUCAGGUGUGAAUUUUAUGUUUUUUUUUUUGAAGCAGAAUUUUAUGUUUUUUAUUUAGGUAAUUAGGUGCAAUAAAGAAGGUUAUUGUAAAAAGAGUUAAUCUUUCAUAAAACAAUGUUAAGAAGAUAACUAAUAUCAUUAAUUAGUGAUUACCCAAACACUAACAGAUACGUACUGAUUUAAACACCCUGUUCUUAUCUAUGGUCAAACUCAAAUCAAAUGUCCAAAAGUCUCGUGUGUUUUUAUAUUCUUAUCCAUGAAUCCUUCCGACAAACUGCAUCCAUUCAUCAAAUCUUCCAUCCCUCUUCUUAUAUGCUCAUACAUGGAUCUCCGAUCUCCGCGUCACUCAAAUAUUUCAUUUCUUCUCCAUUUCUUACACGUGGUUCUCCACUCACUGUUAACUGUCUCCCGGUUUAUAUGACCACCACAAUCUACCGUCCAGGUUCAACUUCAACAGACUUCAAGUCGAUACGGCUCGCACCAGUGCUCUCUCAUGGCGACUUCCAUUUGUCUCAAGGUUUCUGGGUUCCUUAUUCAUCUUUUAUUAGUCCUUUUUUUUCGAACUUGAUUAUUGUUCUGAAACAACCACUGACUGUGACUGAGGGAGGAAGAAGGGAUUCGAAUAGAUACAAACUUUCGAUUUGGUUGAUUUUCGUAGAACAUGGGGAGUGUUUUUUUCUCUCCUCUCCACUUUCAAAAUUUCAUUGUCGUAGAAGAUUGAAAGUUUAUGUGCUCCCCAAAUUCAAGCAAAGGAUAUCUAUAAAUCUAAUGUUCAAGGGAUAUUAGAUGGUGUGAACUUAAUUGAUGACAGCAAUGCUUUAUAAAUAAAUCUGUAUUUUCCUUUGCUGCAGUAAUUUUUUUUUGUUACAUAUUUUGAUUUAUCCAUCACACUUCCUGUAAGUUUGAAAUAUUUUCAGCUGAUUGUUUUUAGGUAAUUUUAAUUGCCAUAUAAAUAGAUAUCUCUAUUUAUUCACUCCGUCAAUUCCAAAAUCUCAUAAUGUAAAUCAUGAAUUUUCCGUAACACUAAUAUUGUCGAAACAAAUGUUAUUUCUUAGAAUUUCAUGAGAGUAGUGGUUUAAAUGUACUGACCACAAUAAAAUCAUUUAUUCGGAAUGUGCAGGCUCAUGCUUUUGAGAGACAGGAAUGCUCUUUAGGCUAUGGUUAUCAGACCUUUUCUAACUGCAGAGGACAAUUUCCACCAUUCCAUGACCUACAAUAUAGAAUCUUUUGUAAAUCAAACUUACAUUGUUUCUAUACCCAUCGAACUAGACUUACUUGUCAAAAUAAAGUAGAUAGUUUCUGUGAAAAAUCUAUUUCAACAUUUUUUGGUCAAAGAGGCUUACAUAGUCCUGAUACUUCCCGACAAAAAAGAUUCCGGAUUAAUGCUGAGCUUGAAGUUGCCAGUGCUAUUGAUGUUAUCAAUGAUCUAGGUUUUGACACACUUACUUUCCUGUGUGUGACUGUUGGAAUCAUCCCUAUUUUUAAGCGCCUAAAAGUCAGCCCAGUAAGAUUUUGUUAUUGAGCUUGCUUUCUCUAGUUCUUCUUUGUAACUCCUUUGUCUUGCACCUAAAGGUUCUUUGUAUCUUUCACUUAUAUCAUUUUACAGAUUCUAUUUAUUUAUAUCAUUUUUGUUUGUGGUAUAUUUGCAGAUCCUAGGUUUUUUUUCUGCUGGAGUCUUAUUAAAUCAAUUUGGUCUUAUUAGAAACCUUGGUGAUGUCAAAGUUCUUUCUGAAUGGGGGAUUCUUUUUUUGGUAAACUUAUUCUUUCCCUUUUAAAUUAUUCACUUUUUCUAUAUUAGUAAAGAAUAGUAAAACCAAAGUAUUCUCUUCUUGCAGUUAUUUGAAAUGGGUUUGGAGCUUUCUCUUGCACGCCUUAAGGCUCUUGCAAAAUUUGCCUUUGUACUGGGAUUGGCACAGGUUUGUCUUAAUAAACAAGUGUUUACAGUCUUAAAAAUACUUUGGUAUUGAUUUUGUACUUAUUAGUACAUCUCUUAUAGUACUGUAAACAAGUCUUAGCAGACAAGAGCAGGCUUUAAAAGUCAAAACAGUCUUAAAUAUUUUUUUUACCAAGUUUGAACCAAACACUAGAAAGUAUCAUCAUAUUUUUUACAUGUAUAGAUCUUUGAAUGUUCAUUUAUUAUAAUUUAUAAAGAACAUAAAUAUAUUUCAUUUAUAUUUAUAAUUCACUUAAUUUAUCUAUUCAUUUUGACUAUGCUGCUUUCUAAAAUAAUUAUACAAUAUCGGCGGUGAUGAUAUAUGUUUUUGUGUUAACUACUAGUCAAAUACUUAGGUUUGGUAUUUAUUUUGUUUUACUUUCAAUGAAUAUACAUCAAUACAUGCUUGUCUUACUUGGGAUUUUCAAUUCAUUGAAGGUUAUCUUGUCCACCCUUGCAUUUACAGCAUUUGAACUUCCACCAAACGGGGCCAUUGGGACAAGAAUUCUACAAUUUCUUUUCAACUCAAGACCUGAUUUGGUGAGUAAUAUUUGUAAGGUUUUUAUAUUUUUACGUUAGUUAGGUGCUGUUUGAAAAAUCAUCAGUGUUUUUAUUAUCAUAGCUUCAGAUUUUUAUGAUACCAUUACUGAGUUUUAUUAUUAUGGCUUUAGCAUCUUUAAUUAUCUUAUCUCACAGAAUUUUGUACAUUGUAUAUCAAUUUUUUGAAGUGCAGGUAAAUAUUAGAAGCAUUGAUGAAGCUGUAGUGAUUGGAGCUGCAUUGUCGUUGUCAUCUUCAGCUUUUGUACUGCAGGUGAGCAGGUGACUACUAACAAUAAGCUAGUGGUGGUUUCAUUUUCCGUCAAAAAAACUUGUGGUUAUUUGUAGUUCAUGUGUGUUAGCAUUGGGGGGUUUGUGUGAUAGAAAUUCUAUAUAUUAGUUCGAAGAGCUUGGGGUCACGUCAGUUAUCAUUGGGGAAGUAUGAACCGUGAGUUUAAUUGCUUAAAAAAAAGUAUGAACCGUGAGUUUAAUUGCUUAAAAAAAAGUAUGAACCGUGAAAGAAUGAUCAAAGAUCAGUUUGAAGAAUGUGGGAUCACUCAUAGUUAGUGUUUGUUAGUGAAGUAGGAACAAUCUGAUGAUGACAUGCACUAAAUAAACUAUCUACCAAUUAGAAUUCUGAAAUCCACCAGAAAAUAGAAGAAAUGAAUUAAGAGAGUAGAAUACAAGGAAUAUCUGGAAAAUAUGAUAUCAAAAAGUGACGAGCCUAUCCACCUUUAUUCCUUAAAUACUCGUCUCAUAGUAGUGGACUUAGGGUGUCAAAUAAAGCUCGGCUCGGGCUCGUAAGCCCAACGAGUCGAGCCCGAGCCUGAAGCUCAAGCUCGUUAAGCUCGUUAAGCUCGGUGGGCUCGGUAAGAGGAGUAUAAUAAUAAUAAAAUAUUAUAAUUAGAGAGAAUGAGGAUAUAGCUUAAAUGGUAAAGUACUUGUUUUUUUCUUUGAAGCAAUUAAAUUUCAUUAGAAUAAGGCUAAUGCCAAGUUUACAAAAAUAGAGAAUAAAAAUAAAAAUAGAAGUAAAAAGAAAUGAGCAAAAAGCUCAUUGACCAUUAGCUAUGUAGUCUAGUUAUACAGUAACUAAAUACGCUACCUCAGGAGGUUGGUCUCUCAUACUUCCAUCAUAGAUGUCUCCAAAGGGUGACAACAACUCUUCUUAUAAUACAUUGAAUCAAAGGAGAGACUGAUGUCUUUAAUGACCUCCUUAAGGACUAUCUCAGGAGGCCUACUAAUGUGCUGUCUAUACCUUUAUUUCUUUCCGUCCAUAUAUGCCACGACAAGCACAAAUAGCAUUCCAUAUUAACCCCCAAGGGGGGGAGUGGCGCGUAAUCUUUUGUGCUGCCUCCGUCAGAUCCCCCAAUCUAAUAUCUGGCGCGUAAAGUACUUGUUUAGCAUGGGAGAGGUUGUGGGAUCGAUACCCCAUUUCUCCAAAUAUUUAUUUUAACCUGCAACUUCAGGUUAAGUUCGAGCCCGAGCCCGGCUCAAUAAGCCAAAGCUCGGCUCGGCUCGUUUGACACCCUAAGUGGACUCUUCAUGAGACGAGUUGUUAUUUUUAGUUAGAGGUUAGAUAUGCCUCUGUCAAGACAGAUGGCAUGACAUGGACAGCCUAAAUGUAUGUGUCCUACAUUAGUUAGCAUUGGGGGAGUGUGAAUGAAUAACUAAAUCAUGUCAGUUCAAAAAAUAUGGGACCACUCAUAGUUCAUGUUUUGGCACUGGGGGAGUGUGAAAGAAUGACCAAAGGUCAGAUCAAAGAACGUGGGAUCACUCGUAGUCCAUGUUCAGGAAGUACUGAUGUUGUGUUAAAGAAUAUGAAAGGGUCGGUUCGAAAGAACUUGGCGUCACUCAUAGCCUUUGUGCGGUACUAGUUUGAAGAACUUGGGCACUUCUAUGUUGCAAAUAUAAACCUGGAAAAACUGGAUGCAUUUGAGGGAGAGUGUUAGAAAUAUGGUCCCACAUCGAUAAUUAUGGAAUACUUACCCACUAUCAUGUCUAAAUAUGUCACUCUACCUUAUUAGUGUUUAGGUUUUAGGUGAUACAUAUCAAAUAUAUUUUUAUCAAAGUCUUGAUAAAAUCUAGUAUCCAUUAUGUGAUUCUAAUCAAACUAGUGGCUAAUCAAUUAUGUCAUUUAGCUUCUUGCUGAGAAAGGUGAGCUCCCAACAAGAUUUGGUUCAGCAACACUAGGGAUCCUUUUACUACAGGUAAUUGUCUUAUCUUUCCAUUGCCUGAUUCCUUUGAUUCUUCUUCUGGUUAUAUUGCACUUACCUGUUGAUAUAUUUUAACCGUAUAUGUGGUAAAUUCCUUGUUAUAUUUGCAGGAUAUAGCAGUCGUGCCUCUCUUGGUCAUUCUUCCUGUGCUGGAAAGUCAGGUAUUACGAGAUUAUUGAUCCUUUUUGGUUAAGUAUAGGAGAAAACUUAGUUUAAGCAUUUCAUUCUGUGACUUUCCUCAGAACCUUGUAGAAGAAAGCAUUUGGCCAAUACUACUUGCAGAAAGCCUCAAAGCACUUGGCGGACUUGGUUUGCUCUCUAUUGGUGGAAAAUUCUUUCUUCGACGAGUAUUUGAAGUUCGUAUUGUGUUUUUCUUUUGAAACUGUUACAUUCCGGUUAGUCUUAUGUUAGUAACGAAUCAUUCCUAAUGUAGGUUGUGGCAGAAUCAAGAAGUUCUGAAGCUUUUGUUGCUCUUUGUCUUCUUACUGUUUCGGGGACUUCCCUUCUUACUCAAAAGUUGGGUUUCAGUGACACAGUUUGGUUUCUUUCCUAAACAAUGAAAUUCAAUAAUCUUCUCGUUCUUAUUUAUCUUAUACUUGUAUAUAUUUUUUCAAAAAAAAAAAUCAAAGCUAGGAGCAUUUCUUGCUGGUGCACUACUCGCAGAAACAAAUUUCCGGACUCAAAUUGAAGCUGAUAUAAGACCUUUUAGAGGCCUUCUACUUGGAUUAUUUUUUCUAGCAACAGGAACAUCGAUUGAUACACAGGUAGGAAGAUUUUUCAUCAAAGUCUUUAGUUUUUCUGCUUUCAUUAUAUGAUAUUUCGAUUUAAUUUUUUUGUCAUCAAACUAACGUAACAAGUGUUUGGUUGUAAUUUUAAAAGAAUUUAUACCACUUACAUGUUCUUCUUAGUAGUUAUUUUUCUUCCAUGCAGCUCCUUUUCCGAGAGUGGCCAAAUGUCCUUUCUCUCUUGGCAGGUUUGAUUGUGAUCAAGACCCUGAUAAUAACUGCAAUAGGUCCACGAGUUGGACUAACCUUACAAGAAAGUGUCCGUAUAGGACUGCUACUUUCUCAGGGAGGGGAGUUUGGAUUUGUUGUAUUUUCUUUGGCAAACAGGUCUGUUCUGAGUCUUUUGACUGUGCUAGUCUUUAAUAACUAUUAUUCUAUUUGCCUGUUUAUGAAUCAUUAAGAAAUAUAACCAUAUAUUCAAAAACUUACCUUACCUGCAGGCUUGGAGUGCUUCCUCUUGAACUCAACAAGUUGCUUAUAAUUGUCGUCGUGCUGUCGAUGGUGUUAACACCUUUGCUUAAUGAAGUUGGAAGGAAAGCAGCUGAAGUCAUCAGUGAAAAGUUUGAAACUAGUGAAGAAGUAUGCAGUAUAUCGCACUUAUAAUGUAGUUACUGUAUGUAGAUAUAUCUAUUAACUGUUUGUUUUAUUUUACUUUUGAUUCAAGGAUCGACAACUUGCUGAAAAUGCUAACUAUGAUUCAAGCGAUCCUAUUGUAAUACUUGGAUUUGGACAAAAGGGUCAGGUAUGUAAAAUUUCUAUUCUGUAUUUAGUAUUAGCUAAGAAGGGUAUUUAAUAUAAGUAUAGAAAACUAAACUAAGCCAAUGAACUAGAACUGAAUAAACUGGAAUGAAUUACAGAAACUGAUUGUAAUAGAAUUGAAAUAAAAUUGAGUUUAAGAAUUGAAAUUGACUAACCAAUCAAAGGAAAUACACAUUGAAAUUUCAAACGAAGAUUUAGUAGAGUACAUCAAAUUGAGGAACGGAACAACAGAAAACUAAGAAAUUGAAUUUGAAGACAGAAAAAUAUAAAUUUGGAUUUCAACUUCCGACUGAAGAUGAUACCUGCAAACAGAACAACAACGCCUGAGUAAUCAGAAGGCUCGGACGUGAGAAUGAGAGAAAGGAGAUCAAAAGGAAAGUACUCACAACUAAGAAAUUGAAGUGAAGUUUGAUCGUCGACCCUUCUUCUCUUUAAUAGCCUUUUCUGUUAACUAAAAUCAGUUGUGUAACUGAUUUUCCAGAUUUUUGGGAAAAUCUGUUUUCACAUUAAACUCUGUUUUCACAAGGUAAUCUAUUGUAAUCUCUUACAUUAUCGCUAUGCAUUAAUUUUAUUUCAGGUAAGUUGUCUAUUUAUUUUAGUUAAGCAUGUCAUGUUCUCAGGUACUUGCAAACUUCUUGUCAACACCACUGGCCUCUGGUCUGGAUAAUAACCUUGUUGGAUGUCCAUACGUUGCAUUUGAUCUGAGUCCAAGUAUUGUAAAGGUGUGAAGUUCUUGAAAUUUGUGUGUUUGAUUUUUUAUAUUAAUGGGUUCAAGAAGUCAGACAUUACCAAUGUUCUCCCAGGAGGGUAGAAAAAUGGGAUUCUCUAUCUUUUAUGGAGAUGGAUCAAGGCCAGCAGUUCUGCAAGCUGCUGGUAUAUCUUCUCCAAAAGCAGUUGUUCUCAUGUAUACUGGAAAAGAAAAGAUACUAGAAGCUAUUCAAAGAACCCGUCUUGCAUUUCCAGCGGUAUUAGAAAUUUGGCACUCCAUUUAAAAAAAAAUCUUAAUUGCAUUUUUAUUUAUUUUCGUUUCGAGGAUUUUCAACUUUACAUGGUAGGUUUUAGCAAUAUUUCUUGAUUCAUUAUUAAUCUAACAUCAACUAUUUGAUACAUCCCUAAACAGAUUCCUAUAUAUGCAAGAGCUAAGAAUGUGAAACAUCUUUUAGACUUCAAGAAAGCAGGUGCCACAGAGGUCAUUCUCGAAAGUGCUGAGGUAAAUGGAAUAGUUAGCUGAGAUUUUUGUCUUCAAAGAUGUUAGCUAAUUAUUAUAGUCAGUCAAAUAGUGAACGUCAGGUUAAGAUUUUUUUUUUAAGAGGUAAACGAAAUUUAACGUCAUUGAUUAUUUAUUUGACUUAGCCAGGUUAAGAAUUAAGAUAGUUAAGCAAUUUUCUAAUAUAUGAUUGCAGACAAGCUUACAGCUAGGUUCCAAGCUUUUGAAAGGAUUAGGUGCCAUGUCAGAUGAUGUUACUUUCCUGCGUCAAUUAGUAAGAGAUUCAAUAGAAAUUAAAGCUCAGACGGAAAUUGAUGGCAUUGACGAAGAAGAGAUUGAAAUGUUGAAGCAAAUGCAGGUAAAUUCAUGAAAAAUGAUCACAUUUUGAAUAAUAACAUGCCCAAACUAAGUCGAUCUUGAUUUUCUGCAGGUGACUACUACAUCAGUUCUCCGUGAAAACAAUCCAAGUUAUUUAACUAACAUUGACAAGCAAGCAGGAAUACAGACAGGGCAAGAAAUCUCAAUCAUAGAACCUGAGAUUUUAGAAGAUUGUGAAAAAGGUAUUUCAUAUUGUGAUCUAGACGAUAUUUCCAACGGUUCCUCAAAUGGCAGUGGUGAUUCUUGUGAAGAAAUGACUUCAUUGGAUUCGAAUAUUUAGUUAUUUAUUUGUUUAUAUGAUAUAUUGAUAUAGUAGUUGAUGUAAAUAAAAGAAAUUUUGAUUCUGAAAGAAGAAAAUGUACUUCAUUUUUCGCAAACGGCCAUUGGUACUGAGAAAUUUAGGUUAUGAACUAGAUUGACAAGCAAGUUUUUCUCUUUUUUGCUGCAUAUUUUGCAUGGUUAUUUGCAUUUUUCAUGUAAUUUUGAACCAAAUCUCGAAACAUAUUGGUCUUAUUGUAAACUUCUUACUUGAUCUAGUGAUCUUGUUUCUGAAAAAAUAUAUAUAUAUCUUUUAAUUAGGGUUUAGGGUUUUGGAUGUAAACGCAAUUAUUUCUUCUUUUUUAAAUAAAAUAAAUACGUAUUACUGUAUUAGAACAGGCGACUCCCGACUCCCCCGGUCCCCGAAUUUCUAUUUGUUCUUUUUUGGUUAUCAGACUUUGAGCUGUACGUCUGUACAUGGUCAGUUUAAUCUCACGUCGUGGAGGAGCAAUGGCUUCCACGGUUCUCUCAUCAUCUUCGUCAUUCAGCGCAAUGAAUACUACUUCCUCUCGGAUGAGCACCAGAAUCCCCAUGUUUUCAUCAACGAAGAGAAGAAUCCCCGACGUGGUUUCCAUCCGAUUCCCAUGUUCCAUCUCUGGUAGUUUUGGACGCGUAUCGAGUCAAUGUUUUGUCUCCACUGCAGUAUCUGACAAGAUCAAAGUCCAGAACCCUAUUGUUGAGAUGGACGGUGAGUACUGGAAACCAGGAUUUUUUUCUUCCAUCUUAUCUAUUGAGAGAGAGUCAGACAGAGGUAGAAAACAGUAUUUAUUAUUCGAACUGAUUGUUUUUUUAUCUCAGGUGAUGAAAUGACUAGGAUCAUUUGGAAAAUGAUAAAGGACAAGGUUAGUAAUUUUCAUGAUUCUUCUUCAUUUUUAUUGUUGCAUUCUUGUUCCCGUUGGUUAGGAUUUUGCAAAAAUAAUAUGCGUUUUUUGUGUGAUUGCAGCUCAUACAUCCAUUUCUUGAUCUGGAUAUUAAGUACUUUGAUCUUGGACUUGAGAAUCGUGAUGCAACUAAUGAUAAGGUUACCGAGGAGAGUGCAAAGGCCACACUCGAGUAAAUUUCUCUGUUAUAUCAAAUUUUUUUAUGUCAUGUUACAAUGCAAAUCUUUUUUGUAUUUUUUCCAACCUCCAAGUUUAUCAAAUAUCUUUCAACGUAGACAAUUUUUUUUGAAAUAGGUCAGGUAGCUUACGAAGAAGAGACAAAUGUGGCCACAUACAUGUUGUUCUCUGUGUAUGUGGAAGAUAGUGAGCUUUUAACAUAUCUAGGAUUACCAAUCACGGGAAAGAAAAAGUCAUUUAGACAGUGCUGGAAACUAAUCCAGUCUAUAGAGGUACUCUUAGCAAGAUAGAGUGGGAAAUGUCUUUCCUAUGGAGGGAGAAUACACUAGUUAACUGGAUAAUAGCUGAAAAGUAUACUUAUUGGGCGCAAGGUAUGGCUAUCCCUGAUUCUGUGGCUAAGAAGGUGAGAAGGUUAGCCUAUAGAUUUAUAUGGGACGGAAGGAAAGGAAUCCCGUGGGCCCAAAUGGUCAUUUCCAAGGCGGAAGGGGGUCUAGGGGUUAGAGACCUACCUAUUAUCACCACUGCAACCAAUAUUUAAAGAGCUUCAAAGUACUGAGAUAAGAGUGACUCUAUUCUGGUAAAAUGGAUCCAAGAUAGGUAUAUGAAAGAAAAGACGCUUAAUGAUAUACAAAUCAAACCUACUGUGGAUUCACAUUUUUUGAAAGCUUUUGUCUCAGAAAGAAACCUAGUGGAUAAAUGUUUGGAUUGUAGCAUAGUUCCAGGCGCAUCUCCCUUAGCAUGCGAUUUUUUUUUUAUCUUCCUUCAUCUUUUUCUCCAUCUCAUUUCAGAGUUCAGACAUCUCAUUUAGAGAUUAGGGUUGUGUUUUUUUUAAUUAAUUUGUUAUUUUUUUAGGGUUUUCGAAAUGGCUGAAUUUAAUGAAAACAAUGAGGGUGAACCCCAACCUGAACCUAUAGAUGUAAAUCAUUUGUUCUAUAAACGGCUAAAGAAGAUACAGGAUCAUCUAUAGAUCGUAUUAUGUAUUUCAAGUUUAAACUAGUCUAUGUGUUUUGAACUACUUUAACUAUUUUGAUAUAUUUUAUGAAGUAGAUAUAUUUUUGGUAUAUAAAUAAUAUAUGAAAAACCUUUAUUUUUAUAUAUAUUUACGAAAAUGCCACUGACGCAAAAGCUCAAGUGCUCCAGGUGGUGGCGCAUCGCGCAAAGGCGCAUCCUGAACCUUGGAUUGUAGAGCCAAUAGUACGAUUGUGUGGAGAUCUGAUACUCCGAUAAUCAAGUUGGGGGGAAUGGUGGAAAGUAUUAGAGAUAGAAAGCAUAAAGAUAUAUUAGCUGAGGGAAUUUGGUCGAAGAUGUCGACAAAAUUCUCUAUUCUCUUGUGGAAGGUAAAAUAGAAUCACCUAAAUACGUUCAAGAAGCUGAGAAGUUGGAGAGUACAAGUACCUCCUGUUUGCUUGUUAUGCAAUCUGGAAGAUGAAACUAGGAGUCAUUUUUUUUUUAACUGUUCUUAUUCCAGAUCUCUCUUAAUUCCGUUGGCGGAACAUUUGGAUCUCGCCUUCUGGAAAAUAAUGAAUAUUCUAGUUCCCACCCAAUCCAGUCCAGAUAUUAGAUUGGGGGAUCUGACGGAGGCAACACAAAAGAUUACCCACCACUCCCCCCCUUGAGAGCUACUAUGGAAUGUUAUUGGGUGCUUGUCGUGGCAUAUAUAGACGGAAAGAAAUAAAAGAUAUAGACAACACAUUAGUAGGCCUCCUGAGGUAGUCCUUAAGGAGGUCAUUAAAGACAUCAGUUUCUCCUUUGAUUCAGUGUAUUACAAGAAGAGUUGUUGUCACCCUUUGAAGAUAUCUAUGAUGGAAGUAUGAGAGACCAACCUCCUGAGGCAGCGUAUCUAGUUAUUAUAUAACUAGAUUACAUAGCUAAUGGGAGAGAGUCAAUGAAUUUUUUGCUCAUUUCUUUUUACUUCUGUUUCUAUUUCUAUACUCUAUUUUUUGUAAACUUGGCAUUAGCCUUAUUUUAAUUAAAUUUAAUUGUUUCAAAAAAAAAAACUAAAUUACAUAGCUAAUGGGAGAGAGUCAAUGAGCUUCUUGUUCAUUUCUUUUUAUUUCUGUUUUAUUUCUAUACUCUAUUUUUGUAAGCUGGGCAAUAGCCUUAUUUUUUAAUGAAAUUUAAUUGCUUCAAAAAAAAUCAUAUGCGACGGUAUUGAGUGCAUAGUUUCUUAGGGUACAUAUGUGAUGUAGCAGAUAUGCUUCAUAAUGUCUCGAAUUGUGCUCUAGCUUAUGCUGAGAGCACAUUUAGUCUUAACUAGUCCAGCAGAACCAUCUCAAGGGAGCUUCCCUCCUUAUGAGAUGGUAUAAAGAAUAAAUAAAUGAAUAAAUAAAUAAAUAAAUAAAGGGGAAGCAUUUUGGUUAUCUAGUUCUGCAGGCCCAUCCCAAGGAGGCCUCCCACCUUUUGGAGAUGGUAUAAAUAAGAAGAAUAAUGGGAAACAUGCAAUUAACAUAUUACUUUAUUCUCAAGGUAUUACUUUCUCUUGCUUUUUCUUCCCGAUUGCUUUUUCUCUUCCAUUCUUUGAGAUUUGGUUUAUUGACUUUAUUCCAGAUCGCCAACUCUCUGGUGGAAAUGUGGAAUCCAGAUUAUUUAAAUAAUUUGACAUCGCAAAACAGUAGAAGAUCCUUCAGAUCUUCUACAUCAAUAUGACUUACACUUUUUGAUCUUAUAUACAUACAUAUCCUUCAUUAAAUAUAUAGGAAAAAUUCCAGGUGUUAUAGGAAUAUCGUGUUAUAAUUGUGUCAUAACUCAUCCAUACCUUUUAUUAUUGAAUAUUGAUCCAAAGGUGGGCAAAAUAAAUGUUUAAAAAAAAAUCCAAUAGGUGGAAUCUCGAGGUCAGUAGUUGGAUGGAUGAGAUGAAUUAUAAUACCUUAUAACACGUACACGUAUAACAUUUGAAUCCAUCUCUAAAUAUAUAAUACCUAAAUGAUACAUGAGCAUAUAUAAUAAAAUACCUGAAUGAAAUAAGUAGCAUUAAAACUAAUAAGCACCCAAUACCUGGAUGCUUUUGGGUGCCUUGCUUGGGACAUCUGGUCUGAAAGGAAAAAGAAGGCUCAAGCAGCAUAUUUUGAAACCCCCAGAAAUCCUCACAAAGGAAAUCAUUAGAAGAUUUCAAGAAGGCUUACUGUUCACAAAUGAAGUUAACUACACUGCAAAUGUGGGAGACCAACCUUCUAAGGCAACACUUCUAGUUAUUUAAAUACUAGACUAGGAUUCAUGCUAUAUCUUGACCCAUCUCUCUAUUCAUAUUUCUUUUAUCUCCAUAUAUAAUUCAGAGUACCACCCUUCAUUCCUAAUGAGAAAAUGAAUGGGAUGGAAGGAAAGGGAUCCCGUGGGCCCAAAUGGUCCUUCCCAAGGCGGAAGGGAGUCUAGGGGUUAGAGACCUACGGACCUACCUAUUAUCACCAUUGCAACCAAUAUUAAAAGAGCUUCAAAGUACUGGGAUAGGAGUGACUUUAUUCUGGUAAAAUGGAUCCAAAAUAGGUAUAUUAAAGGAAAGGCGCUUAAUGAUAUACAAAUCAGACGUAAUGUGGAUUCGCAUUUUUGAAAAACUUUUGUCUCAGAAAGAAACCUAGUGGAUAAAUGUUUGGAUUGUAGGGCAAAUAUUACGAUUGUGUGGAGAUCUAGUACUCCGAUAAGCAAGUUGGGGGGAAUGGUGGAAAGUAUUAGAGAUAGAAAGCAUAAAGAUAUAUUAGCUGAGGGAAUUUGGUCGAAGAUGCCGACAAAAUUCUCUAUUCUCUUGUGGAGGGUGAAAUGGGAUCACCUAAACACGUUCAAGAAGUUGAGAAGUUGGAGAGUACAAGUACCUCCUGUUUGCUUGUUAUGCAAUCUGGAAGAUGAAACUAGGAGUCAUUUUUUUUUUAACUGUUCUUAUUUCAGAUCUCUCUUAAUUCCGUUGGCGGAACACUUGGAUCUCGCCUUCUGGAAAAUAAUGAAUAUUCUAGUUCCCACCCAAUCCAGUCCAGAUAUUAGAUUGGGGGAUCUGACGGAGACAGCACAAAAGAUUACGCACCACUCUCCCCUUUAGGGGCUACUAUGGAAUGUUAUUGGGUGCUUGUCGUGGCAUAUAUGGACGGAAAGAAAUAAAAGAUAUAGACAACACAUUAGUAGGCCUCCUGAGGUAGUUCUUAAGGAGGUCAUUAAAAACAUCAGUCUCUCCUUUGAUUCAGUAUAUUACAAGAAAAUAUGUUGUCACCCUUUGGAGACAUCUAUAAUGGAUGUAUGGGAGACCAACCUUCUGAGGCAGCGUAUCUAGUUACUAUAUAACUAGAUUACAUAGCUAAUGGGAGAGAGUCAAUGAACUUCUUGUUUAUUUUUUUUCUUUUUCUAUACUCUAUUUUUGUAAACUGGGCAAUAGCCUUAUUUUUUAAUGAAAUUUAAUUGCUUCAAAAAAAAAAUGAAAAACUGAAAAUUUAACUUUACCAAAAAACUCUGAAAUUUAGCGUAGCAUUAACACAGAGAGAAUACUUUAACUCUUCAUUUUGUAACCAUUGGAAUAUCAAAAUCAUUCAUUUGAGUCAUAAAGUCGAUGGGCAUUGGUGAUUCCUCGUCUUCAUCAUCUUAUAUUCUCUUCUUAUAACUAGCCAUUGUUUGUUGUUGGCUUCAAGUUGAUGACCUAAUGAGUUUGUUUACCUCCAUUGCAUCCUUCAUCAUAAUCAAUUGCAGACCUCCAGUGAGAGCAUUCAGAAGCAUCAAGUCUUCCAUUUCUCAAGUAAACACUUAUGGUUUUAGACUUUUAGUGUUUCAUUUUUUAGGGAUUUUUAGGUUAGAAUUUAGAUUAUUUUUUUUGUAUAUUUUUUGAUAAUUUUCAGAGAUAAGUGAAGAUGAAAAUUAUGAACCACUACAUAAAAACAGAAUCGAGAUGAACCGUAAGUUAUCAAGUGGACCCAUCACUUACAAAUGAGGUUAUCAAUAGAAAAGCUAAUUGACCGGAGUUCGAUGAUCCCGGAUGGAAAUAAGGAUUCAUGAUUGAUCGUACCAAUCAAAAUUCUAUUCAGUGCUUGUUGUGCCAAUUUCUUUCUAAAAUUGGAGGAUCAUUUAAUGAGGAGGUGAUAAAAUUUUGUUCAAAAUAUCCCAAUGCACCCAUGUUUGUAAGCAAAGAGAUUGCUGAUUACGUUGCCAAGAAGAAAGCAAGUGAAUGAGUUUGGAUUGCUUCUCGGUUUUUAUUGUAUCUUGUAAGCAUGUAAGAGGUGGCCCAUGCCCCAUGCUUACCUUCUGUUCAAUGUCCACUGGUUGUAGAAGGAUCGCUAUUGGUUGAGAUGCCUUGUGACAUUCUUCAAGAAAAUGCUUUUGUGUGUCUUUAUUUUCAUAAAAACAAUUGUGUUUACAAUUUUUUUAAGGAACUUCACAGUUAUUUCGUCUGGUAUACCAAACAAUGUUAAUAAAUCGUAUAUUGUAUAAUCGUACAACUUUUUAAUCAAUUAAUUGUCUUUUUUCAAUUGCAGAUAUAAUGUUGCUGUGAAAUGUGCAACGAUCACACCUGGUUAGUUAUUUUAUUUUUUUCAUUAUUAUAAUUUAGAAUCCUGAAAACUAGAUUAAAUCCUGAAAAGUAGAUUAAAUCUCACAUCUAAAGUUUAAAGACCAAAAUUGAAUAAAUCUGUAGUCAAGCUCACUCAGAAACAGCAAGAGAAAUAUGAAAGGGGUUAAACAAGAAAGAAGAUAAAAUUUCACUGUGGACGUGAUACCUAAAAUUUAGAAUCAACGAUGGUCAAGAUCGCUAGGGGAUGGAAGUAAUCUCCCAAUAAGUAAUCUCUCAAAUUGUCCUUCCUAAGGCGGAAGGGGGUCUAGGGGUUAGAGACCUACCUAUUAUCACCACUGCAACCAAUAUUAAAAGAGCUUUAAAGUAUUGAGAUAAGAGCAUAGUUUAAAAAGCGACGCUUUAAGCGUCGCUUUUUUAGCUUUAAGCGACAAAGCGCUCCUCCAGGAGCGCUUUCUCAAUCGCUUUUUCUGGUCGGGUUAUCGGGUCGGGUCGGGUUGGGUUUUUGGGUUGGGGCAACCCACUGCCCAUAUGAAAUAACUUAAACUCUUUUAAUUUCCCUUCUUACCCCUUCAUUUCUAUCUAACUAUAUAAACUUAAUACCCUUCUAAUAAAACCCUAAUUUCUUUUUAUCACUCUCACUUUUUGUCUUCCAAAACCCUAGAGCCGCCGCCUGACCUCGCCGAAGCCGUCGCAUGACCUCGUUUUUUCCCUCCGUUCUUCACCCCUACUAUUGGUAUGAAUGUCCUCAACUUUUCCAUCAAUUUUUCUACCUUCAGACCGUCUGAAAAGGGGAAAAAAGAUGGCCGGAAUCCGGCCAUCCUCGAUUUUUUUUUUUUUUUUUUUUUUUGGAUUUUCAAUGUCAUACCCUAUAGAAACAUGUAGCCUGAUUUCAGAACAUUUUUAAAUAAGUUUGCCGGAUUAUAAACAGGGGUAUAUAUGCAAUUUUCUAAAAAAUUAUAUUUAUUUACCAAAAUGCCAUUAUCGCUUUUUCAGCUUUCAGCGCGCUCAAAGCUGAAAAAGCUGAGCGCUUUAUAUCUUUUUAAACUAUGUAUAAGAGUGAUUCUAUUCUGGUAAAAUGGAUCCAAGAUAGGUAUAUUAAAGGAAAGACGCUUAAUGAUAUACAAAUCAGGCCUAAUGUGGAUUCGCAUUUUUGGAAAGUUUGUCUCAGAAAGAAACCUAGUGGAUAAAUGUUUGGAUUGUAGGGCCAAUAGUACGAUUGUGUGGAGAUCUAGUACUCCGAUAAGCAAGUUCGGGGGAAUGGUGGAAAGUAUUAGAGAUAGAAAGCAUAAAAAUAUGUUAGUUGAGGAAAUUUGGUCAAAGAUGUCGACAAAAUUCUCUAUUCACUUGUGGAGGGUGAAAUAAGAUCACCUAAACACGUUCAAGAAGUUAAGAAGUUGGAGAGUACAAGUACCUCCUGUUUGCUUGUUAUGCAAUCUGGAAGAUGAAACUAGGAGUCAUCUUUUCUUUAACUGUUCUUAUUCCAGAUCUCUCUUAAUUCCGUUGGCGGAGCACCUGAAUCUCGCAUUCUGGAAAAUAAUGAAUAUUCCAGUUCCCACCCAAUCCAGUCCAGAUAUUAGAUUGGGGGAUCUGACGGAGGCAGCACAAAAAAUUACUCAUCACUCUCCCCCCUGGGGGCUAUUAUGGAAUGCUAUUGGGUUCUUGUCGUGGCAUAUAUGGACGGAAAGAAAUAAAAGAUAUAGACAGCACAUUAGUAGGCCUCCUGAGGUAGUCCUUAAGGAGGUCAUCAAAAACAUCAGUCUCUCUUUUAAUUCAGUGUAUUACAAGAAGAGUUGUUGUCACCCUUUGGAGACAUCUAUGAUGGAAGUAUGGGAGACCAACUGUUAGUGUGGAGACGUUUUUCAUUAAGGGCAUUAAUUAUAAUUAGAAUAAUUAGAAUUAAUGUAGGCCUUUUAUGAGCCAUUAGAAUUAAAUAGGUUUAAUUCUGUUAAAUGGGCUUUAAGCCUUGUAAUGGGUAUUAGGGUUGCAAACACAAAACGGCAACCCUAAUCUCCCAUAUAAGUAUCUUGUAAUGACUUGUAUUCUUUGUGUGAGAGAAAAAGAAGAAGAAGAGACCCCGUGGACGUAGGCACAUUGCCGAACCACGUAAAUCUGUUUUGUUCUUGUUUUUUUGCUCGGUUUUCUUAGUUCGAUUUAAGCAUCGAUCCUAUCAAUUGGUAUCAGAGCCUUGUUUGAGGUCCAAGAAGGUGCUGGAAUAAAAAAACGAACACUGUUCAUUCCGUCGAAACACUGUUCAUCGGCGGAGUUACUGUUCACGAGAAUUUUUUUUUUUUUUUUUUGAGAUUUCCAGCAAGAGGAUCUAUCAGAGCGAGGUUGGAUUAAAAAUCGAAAAGGCAAGAACAAAAGUUGGCGUUUUUUCAGAUCGGCUAGGGUUUUCCAGAGGGAGGGUUUUUUGGACCGGCGUUCCUCUGUCUUCCAGUCGACGAGUCUGUCCUGGUCAUCCAGAUCGACGGGUUUCUUUUUUUCUUUUUCGUUCAUCCAGAUCGGCGGAUUUAUUUUUCCUUGCGUUCAUCCAGAUCGGCGUUUCUUAUUUUCUACGAUCUUCCAGUCGGCGGGUCUGUCCUGGUCCAGUCGGCGUGUUCAAUCAGCGGUUUUUCUGGUUAGGGUUUGUAAACCCUCUAUCGACGUGUAUCCAGACCUUCCAGAGCAGUAGUUGUGCUUGAAAUGGCGGAUGAAAUAAAGCAUAGGGUCGAUAGGUUUGAAGGGAAUGAUUUUGCAUAUUGGAAAAUGCAAAUAGAGGACUACCUCUAUGCAAAGAAUCUUCAUGCUCCGAUGUUGGGCACAAGACCGACAGAUAUGAGUGAUGCAGAUUGGAAGCUUCUCGACAGAAAAGCUAUCAGCCUUAUUAGACCCACCUUGGCUAAGAAUGUUGCCUUCAACAUCUCCAAGUGCACCACUACAAUAGAGGUGUUAGAAACCUUGACGAAUAUGUAUCAAAAGCCUACAGCAACAAACAAAGUUUUUCUGAUGCGUAAUUUGUUCAAUCUCAAAAUGGGUGAAGGAGCAAAUGUUGUUGAUCAUGUCAAUCAAGUAAAUGUGUUAUUGACACAGUUGUCUUCUGUGGAUAUCAACUUUGAAGAUGAACUUAGAGCACUUAUUUUGUUAUCAUCUCUACCAGAAAGUUGGGAACAAGUUGCUACAAGUGUGAGCAGCUCUAUUGGUCACGGAAAGCUUAAGUGGAAUGAUAUAAGGGACCUGAUUAUUUCUGAAGAAAUCAGGAGAAAGUGUAAGACACAGUCAUCUUCUACAGCACUGAAUUUGGAGAGCAGAGGCAGAAGUCGGAAUAGAGGAAAAUUCAGAAGCAAUUCGAAGUCCCGAGGCAAGAGCAAAGGGAAGGAAAAUGUGAUUUGCUGGAAUUGUGACAAGCCUGACCAUUUCAGAUCAGAUUGCAAGGCUCCAAAGAAACAAUCUAAGGGAAAAGAAUCUGAAUACAGUGCUAACUAUUCAGAAGGUUCAGAUGAUGCAUUGGUGUGUUGUGUAGUGAGUUCUGUGGACUCUUGGGUGUUAGAUUCAGGUGCUUCGUUUCACUCGACUUACAAGAAGGAAAAUCUAAAGAACUACAGAGAUACAGAAAUCAGCAAAGUCUACCUAGCUGAUGGCAAAGCACUGGAAGUCUGUGGAAGAGGUGAAGCACAUAUCCAGACCAAGCAGGGUUUGUGGAUUCUGAAGAAUGUCAGAUUUGUGCCAAAGUUGUCAAAGCAACUAAUAUCAGUGAGUCAACUAGAUGAUGAUGGUAUACAAGCCAGUUUUGGAAAUGGAUCUUGGAAAAUUACCAAAGGAGUCAGAAUAGUAGCAAGAGGACAGAAGAAUGGCACCUUGUACUUGACAGAUGAGUCCAAUCUGUUUGCAUCAAUCAGUAUUGCAGAGAACUCAACUUUGUGGCACAAACGAAUGGGUCACAUUAGUGAAAAGGGUCUGAAGGUACUAGUGAAGGACGACAAGUUUCCAAAGAUGACUUGGGAUGAUAUGGAGACUUGUGAAGAUUGCAUUCUCGGCAAGCAGAAAAGACUUAGUUUCUCCAAAACACCCCCACAAGUUAAGCAAGCAAAGCUGGAAUUGGUACAUUCUGAUGUGUGGGGACCAGCCCCGGUGGAUUCCAUUUCAAGAUCCAAGUAUUAUGUCACCUUUAUUGAUGACAACACAAGGAAGGUCUGGGUCUAUUUCUUGAAGAACAAAUCAGAAGUGUUCUCGAUAUUCAAGAAGUGGAAGGCAGAGGUAGAAAUAGAGACAGGUUGCAAGUUGAAGUGUCUCAAGUCAGAUAAUGGUGGAGAGUAUGACAGCACAGAGUUUAAGAAGUUCUGUGAAGAGCAUGGAAUUCGCAGAGAAUAGACAGUGGCUGCCAAUCCACAACAGAAUGGAGUUGCUGAAAGGAUGAACAGGACUCUGAAUGAGCAUGCUAGAAGCAUGAGGUUACACUCUGGUUUACCUAAGUACUUCUGGGCAGAGGCAGUCAACACAUCUGCUUAUCUUAUCAAUCGAGGACCUUCUGUUCCUAUGGAUUUCAAGAUUCCAGAAGAGCUUUGGACUGGUAAAGAAGCAAGAUAUACAUAUCUACGUGUGUUUGGAAGUGUGGCAUUUGUUCAUAUCAGGAGUGAAAACAGAGACAAACUGGAUGCUAAAUCUCAGAAGUGUUACUUCAUUGGAUAUGGAAAGGAUCACUUUGGCUACAGAUUCUGGACUGACGAGUCAAAGAAAGUUAUUCGUGCAAAAGAUGCCAUCUUUCAAGAACAUAAUCUCUACAAGCACAAGGAUAGUGCUAAAACUGAUGGAGAUGAUCAGUUUGUUGAGUUUGAAGUUGAUGAGAGCCUACCAGCAUAGAAUCCUUUGGACAUUACAGAGGAGAUAGCAGAUCCUGAACUUCAAGAUGAGAAUGAGGAACAGGAAAUUCCUCAACAUUUUGUCAGGAGAUCUACUAGGCAAACUAAUCCACCAAACAGAUGGGAUCCUUCAGUGAACUACCUCUUACUGACAGAUAAUGGAGAGCCAGAAUCAUUUGAAGAGGCUCAGGUGCAAAAUGACUCUGAGAAGUGGGAGCUAGCCAUGAAAGAAGAGUUCAAGUCUCUUGAAAAGAAUAAGACUUGGCAGUUGGUUCCUUUACCACAAGGAAAACGUGCCUUACAGAAUAAAUGGGUUUUCAGAUUAAAGGAAGAACCAGAUGGAAGAAAGAGGUAUAAGGCAAGACUUGUAGUCAAGGGUUUUCAGCAGAUCCAAGAUUUGGACUACACUGAGGUGUUCUCUCCUGUAGUCAAAAUGACCACUAUCAGAAUUAUUCUAAGUAUAGUUGCAGCAGAAAAUCUCUACUUAGAACAGAUGGAUGUGAAAACAACCUUUCUUCAUGGUGACAUGGAUGAAGAGAUCUAUAUGGCACAACCAGAUGGGUUCAAGGUAUCGAACAACAAAAGAAAUCUGGUUUGCAGACUUCAGAAGAGUUUGUAUGGGCUGAAGCAAGCACCUCGACAAUGGUACAAGAAAUUUGAUAGCUAUCUCAGUGCCAUAGGUUUCAAGAGGUGUGACACGGAUUCUUGUUGCUACAAAAAACAGUUGACUGAUUGCUACAUCAUUCUUGUUGUUUAUGUUGAUGAUAUGCUCAUUGCUAGUGCAAACAUGAAGGAGAUAAAUUAUCUGAAGAAACAACUUUCAAAGGAAUUUGAGACGAAAGAUCUGGGAGCCGCAAAGCAGAUUUUGGGCAUGAGGAUCAUCCGGGAUGAGUCUUCAGGAAUUUUGAAACUGAGUCAACAGAGAUACAUUGAAAAGAUUCUUGAGAAAUUCAGUUUUGAAAAUUCCAGAUUGACAGAUCUUCCAUUGGGAGCCAAUUUUAAAUUGACAAAGGAGCAAUCACCAAAGACUGAAGCCGAAAGAAGUCAGAUGGAGAGUAUACCAUAUUCCUCAGCAGCUGGAAGUUUAAUGUAUGCCAUGAUCUGCACGAGACCAGAUAUUGCCCAUGCAGUGAGAGUUGUCAGCAGAUUCAUGUCAAAUCUAGGUGUUGAGCACUGGAAAGCUGUGAAGUGGAUACUUAGGUAUCUGAAGAAAACUCUAGAUGUUGGUCUGUGUUUCAAGAAAUUGCAGGUAGAGCUCUGUGGAUUUUGUGAUGCAGAUUUAGCAGGAGACCUUGACAGUAGCAGGAGUACCUCAGGUUAUGUGUUCAACAUAGGAAGUACAACUAUUAGUUGGAGAUCCAAACUUCAGAGUAUAGUCUCUCUCUCAACUACUGAAGCCGAAUAUGUGGCAGCUGCAGAAGCAGUGAAAAAGAAGAUGUGGCUAGAAAAUAUGCUGACAGAAUUGGGCUACAAGCAAACUGACAGUGUGCUGUGGUGUGACAGUCAGAGCGCAAUUUAUCUAGCCAAGAAUCCAGUGUUUCACUCAAGGUCAAAGCACAUCAGACUCAAGUACCACUUCAUUCGAGAACAGAUUGAAGAAGGGCAAUUAAAUUUGAAAAAAAUAGCUGGUACUGAGAAUGCAGCAGACAUGUUCUCCUAAACAGUCUCCAAGUGGGAGAUUGUUAGUGUGGAGACGUUUUUCAUUAAGGGCAUUAAUUAUAAUUAGAAUAAUUAGAAUUAAUGUAGGCCUUUUAUGAGCCAUUAUAAUUAAAUAGGUUUAAUUCUGUUAAAUGGGCUUUAAGCCUUGUAAUGGGUAUUAGGGUUGCAAACACAAAACGGCAACCCUAAUCUCCCAUAUAAGUAUCUUGUAAUGACUUGUAUUCUUUGUGUGAGAGAAAAAGAAGAAGAGGAGACACCCCGUGGACGUAGGCACAUUGCCGAACCACGUAAAUCUGUUUUGUUCUUGUUUUUUUGCUCGGUUUUCUUAGUUCGAUUUAAGCAUCGAUCCUAUCACCAAGUUGGUGUACAUCCACUAUGUUGCCUUGAUGGUGGCUCUCUAUUAAGUAUUAAUAAUCGGAAUCAGCAAAAAUAGAGAGAUGCAAUGUAAUAGUAAACUAUAGUAUUUAUUGUGAUUUGUGAGAUAUUAAUUGGGCUGGUCCCAAUUAACUUCAUAAUUGGCCCAAACAGGGUGCCGAUUAUUAGACAGUCUCCACAUUUAUAACUCCCGUUUACUCAACAUAGUCCAACAGUUCUGGUGUGAAGGAUCCGAAAUAGAUUAUAACAUAUUUGCGGAGGAUUUUAAAAAAGUGAAGAAUAGUAACUAUGAUCACGACAUAUUUGCCAAAUAUGAUCAUGACAUAAUCAGUAAUGAUACCCUACUGACUGCUAACUAACUAACUAUGAUCAUGACUGAGUUAGGUGAUUAGUGUGAACGGAUUAAGGCAAUUUCUACACGGUGUUGGAUUCUUUCUAUAAUCUGUCUUGACAACCAUGAUAAAUUUUUACUGUAAGUCAGAGAACAGGGCUUUCAAGGUGUUGGACACCUUAACUAAUUCUUUAUAGGCGUGUAGGGAAAUGGACAAACAAGAAUGAGGCAUUGCAUAAGACAGUACAAGUUAACAACUACUGAAGAAGUUAUCGACGAGAGGUUGUCCUCUACAAAAAAGGAAGAUGUACACCAUGAAUACCAUCGAUCAUUCGUCUAUAUAAAGAGCAUACCAAAAUGACAUGAUCACUAUAGAUAACCAGCAUGUGAGGGAAGGGUUAAAGGUCACCCCAAAUCCCAAUUAGUGUUCGAAGCCUAGAAAGCUGACCUAGGCAUACAAAUUGAUGGCUUUGAGAGACAUGUCGUCGAUUGUGUCUAGAAAAUCAGAUACUCAAUGCAAAGACCUUAAAAGAGGAACAAGGGAAACAAGGCUCCGAAGCAGAUUUCAUGUGAUAAGAGCAAACUUAUCCGAAGUUCAGACCACAGUAGUUAACAUAGGUAUAGGAAUCAACGGCUUGUAAAAACAGGUCGACAAAUGUGUAUACGAAGUCGAUUGAUUGGCACAAAGACUUUGGAAGAAGAUCAAGUGAUCAGGGCAAAUGAGGCUCUGAAGUGGAUUCAAGUGAUUAGAAUAUCCUUAUCCAAAGUUCAAACCCAUGAUCAAGUUAUCAACGAAGUUUGGAGAGGCAAUCCACAAUUGUGUCUAAGAAGUCGAUCGCUUGGCUCUAAAGACCUUGGAAGAGGACCAAGGCAAAUGAGGCUCCAAAGAAGAUUCAAGUGAUACGACCUACACGUAGAAGUCAACGACUACGUUUAGGAAGUUAACUAUCUACCAACUAGCACCAAGACCUUGGAAGAAGAAAAAGGUCUAAAAUUGACCUAGACAUAGAACUCGACAAAUUAGAAAAACAAAUCAGCAAUUGCCUAGAAAAUCUACUAGAGGUAUGAAAUUACCAAAAUACCCAUAGGUAAACCUAUAAAUAGGCAUAAAUCCCAAGAAGAUGCUAGAGAUAGUAAUCGUCAAGUGGAUAAUAUCACCAAGGUUCCAGGUGCGCGCGCAUAUGCGAUGAUGCGCCCCUAGAGGGAGAUGCGCCAGGCGCAUCUCCCUUAGCCGGAUCCGGGUCGGAUCUGACCCGGAUACAAGCCUGUUUUAAGUUAUUUAAAUAACUUAAAACAGUUUUUUGUUUUAUUUUAAAAAAAAGGCCAAAAAAAAAUUAUUUUAAGACCUUAUAAAUUUAUACAUUGGUCCAUGAAAAGAGCUAUAUUAUUUUUAAUAUUAGCUCCUCCCACUCUUUAGACUUCAUAUUUUUUUUAGACAGAAUGAAUCUUUAUUUAUAGACCAACCUUCUUUGUGUUUUUUGAAUUCUAUCGAUGUGGGACUAAAAAAGUGUAGUUAAAUAAAUUAUUAUUAUAGAGUAUUUUUGAUGUUGUAAAUGUAUUAAAGAAGGCCCAGCCCAGCCCAUUACGUUAUUAUUUUUUAAAAGCCUCUUGGGUUAUUUAUUAUUUUCUUUUUAUAAAAGCCUCUCUUUUAUAAGUUUAAAGAAACCCUAGCCAUUUAAAGAACUAUAUUAUUACGAAAAUACCCCUAAAUGGUUAACCGGUUUUUAAACCUUGGUGUUACAAUGAAUUAUAGGGUGUUAUAAUGAUUAAUAAAUAUAUGUAUUAUAAUAAUUUUUCUAUCCGAUAUAUUUUUAACUAAAAAAUUUAAUUGAUAUAAUUUAGAUAUAUAAAAAAAUAGGGAAGACAUUUGGAACGGCCGGUAGUCGGAACGGUCACUGGUGCGGACCUCCGAUCCGGCCGUCCAUCUCCACAACAAAAUUCUCGACCGUUCAUUGAAUCGAAAUCGGACGGUCGUUGCUCUGUUCGGCGAGCGGAGGUUCCCCGGAGAUGAGUUCCGCGGAACCGCGAUCGAGUUCCGCGGAACUCGCGAUGGGUUCCGCGGAACCGAAAUCGAGUUCCGCGGAACUCGCGAUGGGUUCCUCUGAGGUGAAUCUCGAUUAGGUUUUUACAUGACGCCAGCAUCGAUCCCAAUUCUCUGUCGACGAGCAUAUCGUUAUGUGAAAGAUCCAAUCGCCGGAGUAGCCAUCUGAACCCAUAUCACCCCAACGAAUUCCACACAAAGAAAUAACCUCAAGUCCCAAUUCUUCCACCACCUCCUCCUCCUCUUCCAAUAACCCUCGACGAACCGCAAGCUCCCCCGGGACCAGACAAUCGUCAGUGAAGUGUCCGACUUCCUUCUCGAUGACAUCGCAAUUCACAAGCGUAAGGAACCUCCGGUUACUUGUCCGAUUGAACGGAGUCCGUCUCCAGUGAUGAGGCAACAGCUGUGGAGUCUUAGGGUGGUGAGGUUCCUGAAAGUUUCAGCUGUGGUGAUCAGGUGUGUGUUGUCGAGGUCCAGUGGGAGCCGGAAAUCGAGUGUAUGGAGAGAUUUAGUGCACCGUUCGAUGAACCGGCGAAGACCUUCACGGCUUCCACCGUCAUAUAAUAACAGAGAGUUUAACAACCGGCAGUUGUCUGCAACGUCUAAGAGCACUCGAUCUGCGAUUGUCCGGCAAAAUCGUAAUUCCAAACGUUGUAGGUUGCGAAGUUUCCGGGCAAAAUUAUAAUUCCGUAAUAAACGGUAUUCUACAUCAUCCAGUGCCGUCUCCAGUACCACCUCCAGUACCAUCUCCAGUGCCGUCGCAGCUACGUAGUUGGAGACACUUUAGAUUACCACACCGACGCCAAAGCCAUCUGAACCCAUGAUCACCCCAACGAAUUCCACACAAAGAAAUAACCUCAAGUCCCAAUUCUUCCACCACCUCCUCCUCCUCUUCCAAUAACCCUCAACGAACCGCAAGCUCCCCCGGGACCAGACAAUCGUCAGUGGAGGGGGAGCAAUUCAGAAUGGACAGUUCUUUAAGACACGGAAAGAAUCGUACCCAACGGAAACACAACGGACGGAUACGGGAGAGAUUCAAAGAGACAAGAUUCCUAAAAGGAGGAACCAUCGAAACCUUCUGCAGAGCCGCCGAAGACACCGACCCCAGCAUAAAUCGUAGGUGUCGGAGGCGAUGACGGUGGGGAGGAUAGGCGAUGAGGCAGAGGAGAAGGUUAUCGGAAUUAUCCUCCAGAUCAUCAUCGUCAUCGAAACAGCAACUCACGGGAAGUAGUACGGUAAGAGACAGGAGAUAGGUGUAGCGGUGGAGGAGAAGGACAAGGAAAGAAGACGGUAGGUGUGAGUGUUUUGGGAUACGGAGGGUGAGUGACGUGAGAGACGAUCGGUGGAGAGUCAACCAUCUACGAGAGGGUAAGGUACCGCACAUUCGUCUGUUGCGGACAGGGUCGCACCUGAAAUAUUCUCUAUAUAUAUAUGUCAUGAAAGUGAAAAUAGAUUUGUAAUCUAAUAUGUGAUGAGUUUUUCUAUCACAUUAUGACAUAAGUAAUUAAUUAGGUUUAAAUAAGUGAUGUUUCAUUUAUAUAACAAUAAUACUACUAGGUGACAAGAAAACACAAAGUCACAUAGAAAAGAAUAAACAACUGAUCAUGUACUCAUGUAACUCAUGUACAUAAAAAACAAAGAGUAAGAAUUCUGAAUAAUGGCAAUAACUCUACAAACUACAGACGCAACAAAGACAGAUUCAUCACAGCAACUUGAAACAAGGGACAGCCAAACGAGAAAGCACUAAAUGAUCGCAUCACUGCUACUAGAGAGUAGAAAUCAAGAUCUAUCAUGAAGAAUAAAGUGAAGGAGAAGAUGAUUUACCAAGUCACAUUUGAAGAUGAGAGCAGUCUCUCUGAUAUCCUGCAUAUAUCCAAGAGCUAAUAAGCAUAUGUGUGGUCGGUCGGUCGGUCACAAUUCAAACUCUUCGUCAAGUUUCAGAGCAUUGGAUGCAGCUUCUUCUUCAUCCUCGUCGAUGACGAAGUAGGGAUUGUGGACCUCGGGUCUGAAUUUAAACCCUGUGAAGAUAUAGAAGGCGAGAGUAGCGAGCUCACCGGCUACAACACUCGUCCAUAAGUACCGAUACGAGGUAAUGGUCAUCAGAGCGUAAACCACGACUCUGGUGAAAUAUAUGUAGCAGAUGACCACGAUGUAGUAUUGUCUAAAUAAUGUCAACUUCAUGAGGUUAACUGCGGCUUUCCCAUCAGUUCUGGCUGCUUCUCUUAAAUUCUUAAUGGACCAAACAAUGGGAAACAAAAUAGCACAGCAACAGAUAACGUCGACGAGCAAGAAAACCUGCUUCCAAGUCACCCAAUCGCGUGCAUAAGGCCCACUCUCAUCAAUUGCAACCUGCGCUAUGUUGGCGAUGACUUGAAGCGGGAUCACAAUCAUCAGCACCUUCUUUUCUUUGUCCUGAAGGUAGGGCUUCAAGAACGACCACCCAGUUCCAAUCAGCACGAUGAGAGUAAAGAGUGUGAUUCCCUUCAUGAAGCUGAAAAUAUAGAACAGGACAUCCCAACCAUGAGCGCUCCCGGUCUUCUGGAUAUAGCUCUUGUCUUCCGCCUCACACAGAAGAUUCAACGCCUUGAGAACAACUACGGCAAGCAUGAAGUAAUGGAUUCCAAAAGCUGUGCUUCUUUUCUUGUACAAGAUAAAAAUCCAAAAACCAGAGAGGCAGGCGUAAACAAGAAAGUAAAGGAAGUAAAUCCUGGGAAGCACGGCGGAGCCUGCAGGCAGAUAGCCCUUUUUCCCACCAUUCCCCUCGGUAUUAUACGUUGUAGAUACAACAUCCAUCGAAAUCUUGACGUCCUGGAGGCAAUUGGCGAAGACGAGGGUAAACUGUCCGGGGUCGUUAACAUGGAAGACGAUCCCAAAUUUAUUGGCGAUUGGAGCAUGUGAAUCUUUAGGGUUACGGGGAAGUUGAUCGAAACUGUAGACGCGUUUGACGAGAGAUGACUCAAGAGCGCAGACGAUCUCCUGAUCCUGGAUCUGUUGGAUGACGUGGAUCCAGGCGUCCCGUGUGCUGAGGAAGAAACCAAUCUUAGAGAGGUCGAGAUCAGGAUCAGAGUUGGAGAAAGAGAUCGCAGAGACAUUGAGCUCCAGGAAACCGAAGUGAGUGAAUCCGAACUCCUCGAAAGGGAUUAUAGAUCGCUGAUCGAGUCGGAUUUCUGACGUCCGAAUCUCCGCCGACGAAGAUGAAAUCAAGAUCGAGAAAACCAGAAGCAGGAGAGAAGCACCGACGGAUGAUGUCGUCGUCGUACCCAUCGUGAAUUGGGUCGGUCGGAAAUGGAAAUCGAACUGGAACUAGAACUGGAUUAGGACGAGAAUGGAGGAAGAAAAUAGAAAUUUGGGAUUAAAAAGAUCUCGGUUGUUAACAUGUUACUGCGCUAUCCACGUAGUUGGUGAAAUAUCAAAAUUACCCCGAGUUUUUAUGUAGAAUCACGGAUCAAAAUGAGUAUGUGAAGAUGUUAUUCGGAGAAAAACCAAGGGUCUUUAUUCCUAUGUCGGUCGUGUUUUCGUUUUUUAAGUUGGGUUUGUCGGUCGUGUGUAUCGGACGGUUAACAAUUGUUGUAGACUCGUAGAUGAUGAAGAGACGCUAAGAUUUUGACACGUAUAUUUUAAUUUAUUUUGUAAGUUCAACUGUUCAAAGGAAUAAUGAAAUAUACAUUAUUUUUUACAAAAUUGCAAACUUAUUAAUAAUUUAGAUAUGUCAAAUGUGCAAUAAUUUAAUCCAAACAUUUAAAUUUUCAAAUAUUCAUAGUUCAAUUUUCAAAGGCCUUAAUUUUAAGUUACAUGUAGAGGUGAGAACUGAGAACGGGUGGGUCGUCAUCCAGUACCAUAUCGAUGGUAACUCAGAUAGGGUAGAUUUUUUACCUCGAUUUUAUAUUGUCAUUUUUCGAGACAGGUCGUAAGGUAAAACCCAGAUGUAAUACUCUUGUUUGUGAUCGAGAACAUAUCUUUGAGAUAUGUAUGUUUCAGAGCGAUGUUAGGAUCCAGCAGAGGAUCAACUGGUCCUGUUGUUCAAUGACUGAUCCCAGAAAUAAUUCCAUCUUACCGUUGACAUAAUCGAUGAAUUGGUACCCUCUUAGUAAAACCAAAAAUUCGGCUUUUCAACUGAAAAGGUUCACCUCUUCGAGCACGACGCACUUGAUUUGCUUCGUGAUGAUACUUUUCAUUGAUGUAUCUAACUUCGUCCCUGUUAGAUUUUUUGCAACGGAAGAUUCUGGAUCUUUUAUCAGAGGUGACCCCCAUCGAACGAUGAUACCAUCUUAGAAUUAGGCUUGUAUAUCGGUCGGAUUCGACUCGGAUAACCUGUAAUCCGAAUCCGUCUGAAUAAUAUUCAGAUAAGAAAAUUCGAUUCCAGAGAUCGGAAAAAUCUGAAUCUAGAUAUUUUUUUAUAAAAAUCUUAAAAUAAAAUUAUAAAAAUAUAAAAUCACCUUUAAUAAAGUUAAUUAAUAGUAAGAUAUUCAAAUAAAUAUAAAUUUUUAAACUAUCUGAACAGGUGAGUAAAAUGCAGACUGCGGUGGACCUCCUCUGUAAGCAGAACCGGAAAAUUGUCGAAUUCACCUCGAGAGGUUUCUUCCGAGAAGCUAUCUUACUUUUCAAGCAGCUGCAUUCCGACGACCCUCAUCACCUGACGUGUCUUGCGAUCGUUCUCCCCUCUGUUAUCAAGGCAUGUCAAAUUCAACUGGAACACCUCUCUACGGGUCUCCAGAUUCACGCUCUUCUCAUAAAGACCGCACAUCAUAGGUUUCAAAUCCCAAUCUCUAAUUCACUGCUCAUGUUCUACGUUAAACACUCUCACAUUCGCCAAGCACGCUUUCUGUUCGACACAAUGCCCGUCAAAGACGUCGUCAGUUGGGCUUGCAUGAUAAACGCCUACGUUCAAACCCACUUCCUCUCCGAAGCUUUGAUCCUCUUCAAGCUACUUCUCGAUACUCGUGGUGGCGGUGGUGAUAUUUGGGCCGACGCCGUCUUCCGGGCCAAACCCCAACUAGUUGCCAUGGUUAUCUCUGUGUGCGGUCGGACGGGGAACCUAGGAUUUGGAAAACAGAUUCAUGCUAAGAUUGCUGUUAUGUCUCUUCAUCGUUGUGCAUUGAUAUCUUCUUCGUUGGUUCAUAUAUCCACGGCCCUCGUCGAUUUGUACUCUCGGUGUUUAGAAUUCUCCGAUGCUCGAAAGGUGUUUGCAAGAAUGUCAGAGAAGAAUAUUGUCUCCUGGACUGCUCUAAUAAAUGGUUCCCUCACCGCCGGAGACCACCGCCUGUGUUUCGAACUUUUUCGAUCACAAGAGAUGUGGGAUCAUGGAGUAAAUCCCAACAGAGCCACUUUGCUUGCAAUUCUCUCCGCCUGUGGCCAAAUGGGUGCCUUUAGACACGGUAAACAGAUACACGGCUACAGUUUCAGACAUGAUCUGUAUUCAAGCGACAUGAUUGUGGCAGCUCUUGUUGACAUGUACACAAGAUGCCGGGAAACACUGGCAAGCCGAUACGGUCUGCUUGUUUUUCAAAGCCAUGAAUCGAGAGAUGUUGUUAUGUGGAGCUCCAUAAUUCACGGCCAUGUUCGGAACGGCGAUGUAAUCGGAGCCUUAACCCUCUUCCAUCAGAUGCGGACGGAGGAUGUUAUUAAACCAAACUCCGUCACAAUGCUAGCAAUCAUACGUGUCUGCACCGGCAUUGGCCGAGUUUGGUUCGAUCUCGGCACUUGGAUACACACACUUGUUAUUAAAUACGGCUUUAGCUCCGACGUGGUUGUGGCAAAUUCUCUGAUCGAUAUGUACGCCCAAUGUGGAUUUCUGAACCAUUCUAUUCAAACCUUCAAGGAGAUGCCGGCCCGCGAUAAGGUGUCGUGGAGUAGUAUGAUAUCUUCCCUCGGCUACCACGGCCGCGGAGAAGAAGCAGUCAGUCUCUACCGUGACCUGUCUAAAUUGGAUGAUGAUUCCGGCCUUAUUGACGAGAUCACCCUGCUUGCUGUAUUAUCUGCAUGUAAUCAUUCCGGUCUUAUCGACGACGGAAGAGCAAUCUUCAACCACGCCGUCAAAAACCAUGGAGAUCUCCUCUCCUCGCAGCAUUACGCUUGCUACGCCGAUCUGCUAGGUCGAGGUGGCCAGAUUGAAGAAGCCCACGAGGUCGUUACAAACACAAUCCGGCCGACGACAUGUACGAGAAUGUUGACGUCGCUGAUCUCUGCCUGCAAAUCCGACGGGAGAUUCAACGAAGCAGUGGGUUUAGGAUGCAAGUUGAUCGAGAAAGAUCCAUCAAAUCCGGAUAGCUAUGGUUUGCUUUCUCAAGUGCAUGCCGAGAACGGCGAGUGGAUGAGAGCUGAGAAAUUACGAUUUCUGAUGCGGAGAAGACGGCUGAUAAAAUGCUCCGGACGAAGUUGGAUCGUUACGAAUUAAACCAGAUGGGUAUUUGGUAGGUAUCCAUGCACACUCAGAUCCGCAUUUAAAGUAUCACAUGACAAUUGAAUAUCGGAGCAAAUUGCGUCGCCGGAACGAAACUGAUGACGACCUUUGGAGAUUUCAAUCCAGCUACAUCCCGGAAUCUUGAUGACACCACGGUCCCUCAUCAAUCCUCUCAUCCUCGCCGAAUCACUCCAUCUUUUCGACCCAGCGUAGAUCUUCGAUGAUAUAACAUAAUUCCCAGAAUUCCAUGGCUCAAUUUGCAGAAGCCAUUGGCUAACUUUCUCACCAACCUCUACGUUCUUACAAGUUCUGCAGGCACUGAGAAGUGAUCCUAACAUGACGGCAUCAGGUUGGUAAUUGUCGUCGGGCAUUCUCUUAACGACUGCCCAUGCUUCGUCUACUCGUCCUGAUCGCGCCAGUAAAUCGACCAUACAUGAGUAAUGCUCGAUCUUCGGCGAUAUUUUCAACACAGAUUCCAUGUGAGUGAACCACUUACGGCCUUCGGAAACCCAGCCGGCGUGCGCACAAGCAGAGAGAACUCCUAGGAAAGUUCUCUCGUCUGGUUGGACUUUCCCGUCGAGGUUCAUUUCGGCGAAGCAAGAUAAGGCUUCCCUAGCACGACCGUGGAAGGCGAAUGCGGAGAUCAUGGCGUUCCAUGUGACCUCAUUCUUCCAUUGCAUCAAACGGAAAAUCUCAGUGGCUCGAUUGAGAUCUCCACAUUUGGCAUACAUGUCGAUCAAGGCAGUGCCGAUAUAGACGUCGACGCUCGUUUUUAUAUCUCCCCUGUGUAAAUAAUAAUCCGCUACGGACUUGCCAACAUCUAGAGCACCGAUGGAAGCGCAAGCGGAGAGAACGCCGACUAUCGUGAUCUCAUCAGGCUUGACAGUGCUGGUUGAAACUGAUGAUUGCAUUGUUCGGAAUAAUUGGAUUGCUUCCUCCGCCAUGCCAUUCUGUGAGUACCCAGUGAUCAUAGCAUUCCAAGCAACCUUGUUCUUGUUUUCAUCCAUUCCGUCGAAAACCCUCCUCGCCGAAUCCAAAUCUCCACAUUUCCCAUACAUGUCUAUUAAAGCCGAUCCCAAGAACGAAGUGAGGUUGAAUUUCUUCGUCUCUACAAAUGCUUCCAAAGACCUCCCCAUCGCCACAUCUCCCAAGCCACCGCAAGAUGCCAGAACGCUGGCGAUCGUCAUCUCAUUCGGAUCGAAUCCGGCAUCUUUCAUCCCUCGAAACAAAUCCAAAGCUUCUCUAUCGAAACCCAUUUUGGAAUACCCAGAAAUCAUGGAGUUCCAAGAAACCAAAUCUCUGUCGAUAAUUUCGUCGAACACUCUCCGCGCAUUUACAAGCUCCCCACAUCUCGCGUACAUAGUGAUGAGGCAGUGCUGGGUGUUGGAAUCCAUAUGAAGGCCGGCUUUGAAAACGGAGGCGUGAGUUGCCGAACCUGAAGAAAGACGGCGGAGAUUGGCGAACGCGAUGAGGACAAAUGGGUAUGUGAAAUUAUCGGCCCUGAGACCGGAUCUGAUCAUGUGGAGGUAGAAGCUGAGAGCAAGAUUGUAAUCCUUCCAUGUUGUGGCCAUGCCUCUGAUGAUGGUAUUAUAGGAGUAUUCGUUUGGACGUGGAAUCUGCGAGAAGAGGAGGGUGGCGUAAUUGGAGUCAUUGAGCUGAAGGGAUUUGAAGAGGAGAUGAUUGUCUUUCUGGAUGGAAGCGGUGAUCAUGUGACAGUGGAUUUCUUUCAGUUUCCUCACGUUGCUACAUUUCUGAAGGACCCCUAUGAUCAUCUUUGCUUUCUUCCGAUCUCAACCAUCAAUACCAUUCACCGGACACUGACUCCAGCGAGGGACUCACGUCAUUGUCAAGUGUGGGGGGGAAUAUUAUAUGUAAAAUUUGUGCCAUUUACCCUAAAAAAUACUAUUUAUAUCUCUAUAGUUAUAUUCGCUAAGGAGAGCACAAAUGAAAAAAAUCCGGGUCUCCACUUGACAAUGAAUAGACACUAUUAUAUGUUUUUAAGGACAAACACUAAUACUUUUCUUUUUUUUGCUAUUUGCCAACCUGCCAACAAUCAUUUCCUAUUAGAAUAUAUAUCCACUUGCAGAAAGUCUGACUCGUUCAUUGGGUUUGGGAUCACAGGCUCGCCAUCGCUGCUAUACCUCUAUAUCAUCCACGGUUGCCAUGGAAGAAUCUGGAAUCUGUCUCGAUAUGUAUGUCACUAUGACUUGCACACCAGCUGUUCGAUAAAAUGCAUCAACUAAUGAAAACCUCCAGAAAAUCAAGCAGUUGUCUAUCUCUCGACAAGUGAAAAACUCCCCAUCAAAAAAGCAUCUUACGAGCAGUCAACCUUAGACCCCCCUUCCUGUACCGACAGUGUCUCGGAGUGUGUGGGGAAAGAGUUUAAGGUCGAUAGCUCUGAAAAGGGGGGGUGAAAGGAAAAAAAUAAAAAGUGGAAGAAGAUGAGGGAGGGAUGACAGAUCAAAGAAAAUUAAGAGCAACGCAAUAGGGGAAAAAUUGGUGAAAAUACAUGGGGGAUACUUACCAUCGGGGAAACCACAAUCAGUGCAGCCACACAUAUCUGAGGAGGGAGAAAAUAUUGUAAACUCAACCACAAACGAACAACAGGUAAUAAUAGAGAAUAUAGCCACAACAGAGGAACCAAAAGAGAUAGAGGAAACUAAGCUCAACAUCGGUCCAACAGGCCCAAGAAAGACAAAGUCAAAU
rnacentral:lncRNA from 1 species